rnacentral:lncRNA from 1 species
UUCUCUUCUCCUUGUCUGAGGCUUCUUGUGGAGGUUUGUGAGGUAGCUGUUUGUCAUUUCAGCGGACUUCUUACUCCUAUUUAUGAUCUUGUUCUAUUCUAGAAACAAGGUCAUUUGAGACUUGUGUUUUUCUUUUGAAUCAAUUGUAAUACUUUAGAGGCUUGUACACGUGACAACCAGAUUUUGGGGGUAUUUUUGAGUUGAUUAUAAAAUUUCCGCAUUUUAUUGUAAAGGUUGAAUUUUAGGCUGACUUGUCUUAGUGGGAUAAGAUGAAUGCCAUCACGUCUAUUUUUGGGUCGUGAUAAUCACGAUCCAAAACAUGACAUGUAUUAUAUUUUUGGGCCGAGGACGGUACAAAUUUUUCUUUUUAAUUAGAUUAAGAUAUUAUGUGCACUUUCGCUUUGAAGUUUGCUAGCUUAGAAGCUUGUGAGUCCAACUUGAUCGGACUUACCAGCUUGACCGCCUUGGUCAGGACUCAGGCGAGUCAAUCAAAUACUACUUAUAAGUUAUAACAAAUGACAACCAAAGAAAAAAUGAAGAACAAACUUGAAUACAAACACUGAGGGACAACUUCUGUAGUUGAGACAAUAUGAAAUUCAUCAUAUUACCCUUAUUUAGAAGUGCCACUUAAAAAGGACCAACACUGCAGCUGCUCAUUGUACUAAAGGCAAUACUAAUUGUACAUUUAAAAGGACCAACACUGCAUCUGCUGAUUGUACUAAAGGCAGUAGUAAUUGUACCUUUAGAAAUUGUACAUUUACACGACCAACACCCUCUCUCAUUUUCCUUUCACUUUCUCUAGAAGUUUCUCAAAUUUCUAACCCUAAUUUGUCUCCCUCUCAACUCUUCGUUCGACUUCUCAACUCUUCAAUGGCCGAUCGAGCUGUUCUUUACUGUUAUCUGUUUCUCUACAUCUCUCUGAAGGUUUCCUGAAGGUUUGUGUUUGUCUCCGACCUCCUGCGCAGGUUCUUCUUCAUGGUUUAAGGCAAAUUUCAAUGGCGACUCCAUCUCUUCUUUAUUCUUUGCUGUUUGUCUACAGCCUUUAAAUCUCUCUCUGAAGCUUUGCUGAAUAUUUCUGUUUGUCUCCCUAAUUUCUCUCCCUCUCAACUCUUCUUUCUACUUGUGAACUCUUCAAUGGCGAAUCCAUCUGUUCUUUUGUGUUUUCGGUUUGUCUACAACCUUUAAAUUUCUCUCUGAAGGUUUGCUGAAGAUUUCUGUUUGUGUCCGACGACCUGCGCAGGUACUUCUUCAUCCUUUAAGCGAAAUUUCGAUGGCGAAUCCAUCUGUUGUUUGUUGUUUUCUGUUUCUCUACAGCCUUUAAAUCUGUCUCUGAAGCUUUGCUGAAGAUUUCUGUUUAUUUCCCUUUUUGGGUAUUGUGUAUAGACUGUUUUGGUUCAGACAAGGAAUGUUCUACAACAUAUACUGAAAUUCUUGAAUGCAUGUGGACUUUAAAGUCAAAGAUAUGUCUAUUUAAGAUGUUUUUGCAUAUUGAUAAGGGAAAAAAUGAGUAAAGUUGCAAUCUUUAUUGUUUUUCGGUAUAUUUUCUUUUUAUGGGUUGUGAUAGGAAACCGGGCUUUUUGUUGUUAUAUCCAUCGAUGUUCUGUUGAUGAUAGUACCUAAAACACUCUCAUGUUGUCUUCCAUUGUAACUGUAUCUUUCUAAUCGGAAAGAAAAAUAAACGUACUUAGUGAAAUUGAGGGAGUGCUUACCAUGAAAGAAGAACAAUCACUCACAUGUGACUUAAUAAUGACAUUUAGAUUGCUAUAAUGGAUAUGAUACAUCAUUUCAAUCCUCAUCUUAUUAGUACAAUUAGAAAGUUAUUUGGCUUAUGAAAAAAGUCUGAGAAAGCUAGACUUGAGUUCAACAUAAUGUUCAUUGUCGCACCAGAUAUUUAAAAUUUUGAGUUGGUAUAUUAGAAGUUUGAGAAAACUAGACUUGAGUUCAAUAUAAUGUUCAUGUAACGACUCGGAAAAUGAUAGAGUGAAACUAGAGCCUCACAUGUGAGUUUGGAGUCGAGAACUUAAUGAAAUGAUUAUAUUUGAAUUUGACCCAAAAGUUCUUAAAAAAAUGUGCUUCGGAAGUUACCGGAAACUUGUUUAGCUGUAUAUAAAAAGAUCCGUUUCGUUUUUCGAAAAUCCGACUUCAUAUUCUUGUUUAGGGGGUCAAAUUGAGUGGGAAAUGGGUCUAACCCAAAUUUUAGAGCAACCGUAUCAAAAUCCGAAAUUUCCAAGUGAAGCCUUUUUCGAGGGUCUACUUUGNNNNNNNNNNNNNNNNNNNNNNNNNNNNNNNNNNNNNNNNNNNNNNNNNNNNNNNNNNNNNNNNNNNNNNNNNNNNNNNNNNNNNNNNNNNNNNNNNNNNNNNNNNNNNNNNNNNNNNNNNNNNNNNNNNNNNNNNNNNNNNNNNNNNNNNNNNNNNNNNNNNNNNNNNNNNNNNNNNNNNNNNNNNNNNNNNNNNNNNNNNNNNNNNNNNNNNNNNNNNNNNNNNNNNNNNNNNNNNNNNNNNNNNNNNNNNNNNNNNNNNNNNNNNNNNNNNNNNNNNNNNNNNNNNNNNNNNNNNNNNNNNNNNNNNNNNNNNNNNNNNNNNNNNNNNNNNNNNNNNNNNNNNNNNNNNNNNNNNNNNNNNNNNNNNNNNNNNNNNNNNNNNNNNNNNNNNNNNNNNNNNNNNNNNNNNNNNNNNNNNNNNNNNNNNNNNNNNNNNNNNNNNNNNNNNNNNNNNNNNNNNNNNNNNNNNNNNNNNNNNNNNNNNNNNNNNNNNNNNNNNNNNNNNNNNNNNNNNNNNNNNNNNNNNNNNNNNNNNNNNNNNNNNNNNNNNNNNNNNNNNNNNNNNNNNNNNNNNNNNNNNNNNNNNNNNNNNNNNNNNNNNNNNNNNNNNNNNNNNNNNNNNNNNNNNNNNNNNNNNNNNNNNNNNNNNNNNNNNNNNNNNNNNNNNNNNNNNNNNNNNNNNNNNNNNNNNNNNNNNNNNNNNNNNNNNNNNNNNNNNNNNNNNNNNNNNNNNNNNNNNNNNNNNNNNNNNNNNNNNNNNNNNNNNNNNNNNNNNNNNNNNNNNNNNNNNNNNNNNNNNNNNNNNNNNNNNNNNNNNNNNNNNNNNNNNNNNNNNNNNNNNNNNNNNNNNNNNNNNNNNNNNNNNNNNNNNNNNNNNNNNNNNNNNNNNNNNNNNNNNNNNNNNNNNNNNNNNNNNNNNNNNNNNNNNNNNNNNNNNNNNNNNNNNNNNNNNNNNNNNNNNNNNNNNNNNNNNNNNNNNNNNNNNNNNNNNNNNNNNNNNNNNNNNNNNNNNNNNNNNNNNNNNNNNNNNNNNNNNNNNNNNNNNNNNNNNNNNNNNNNNNNNNNNNNNNNNNNNNNNNNNNNNNNNNNNNNNNNNNNNNNNNNNNNNNNNNNNNNNNNNNNNNNNNNNNNNNNNNNNNNNNNNNNNNNNNNNNNNNNNNNNNNNNNNNNNNNNNNNNNNNNNNNNNNNNNNNNNNNNNNNNNNNNNNNNNNNNNNNNNNNNNNNNNNNNNNNNNNNNNNNNNNNNNNNNNNNNNNNNNNNNNNNNNNNNNNNNNNNNNNNNNNNNNNNNNNNNNNNNNNNNNNNNNNNNNNNNNNNNNNNNNNNNNNNNNNNNNNNNNNNNNNNNNNNNNNNNNNNNNNNNNNNNNNNNNNNNNNNNNNNNNNNNNNNNNNNNNNNNNNNNNNNNNNNNNNNNNNNNNNNNNNNNNNNNNNNNNNNNNNNNNNNNNNNNNNNNNNNNNNNNNNNNNNNNNNNNNNNNNNNNNNNNNNNNNNNNNNNNNNNNNNNNNNNNNNNNNNNNNNNNNNNNNNNNNNNNNNNNNNNNNNNNNNNNNNNNNNNNNNNNNNNNNNNNNNNNNNNNNNNNNNNNNNNNNNNNNNNNNNNNNNNNNNNNNNNNNNNNNNNNNNNNNNNNNNNNNNNNNNNNNNNNNNNNNNNNNNNNNNNNNNNNNNNNNNNNNNNNNNNNNNNNNNNNNNNNNNNNNNNNNNNNNNNNNNNNNNNNNNNNNNNNNNNNNNNNNNNNNNNNNNNNNNNNNNNNNNNNNNNNNNNNNNNNNNNNNNNNNNNNNNNNNNNNNNNNNNNNNNNNNNNNNNNNNNNNNNNNNNNNNNNNNNNNNNNNNNNNNNNNNNNNNNNNNNNNNNNNNNNNNNNNNNNNNNNNNNNNNNNNNNNNNNNNNNNNNNNNNNNNNNNNNNNNNNNNNNNNNNNNNNNNNNNNNNNNNNNNNNNNNNNNNNNNNNNNNNNNNNNNNNNNNNNNNNNNNNNNNNNNNNNNNNNNNNNNNNNNNNNNNNNNNNNNNNNNNNNNNNNNNNNNNNNNNNNNNNNNNNNNNNNNNNNNNNNNNNNNNNNNNNNNNNNNNNNNNNNNNNNNNNNNNNNNNNNNNNNNNNNNNNNNNNNNNNNNNNNNNNNNNNNNNNNNNNNNNNNNNNNNNNNNNNNNNNNNNNNNNNNNNNNNNNNNNNNNNNNNNNNNNNNNNNNNNNNNNNNNNNNNNNNNNNNNNNNNNNNNNNNNNNNNNNNNNNNNNNNNNNNNNNNNNNNNNNNNNNNNNNNNNNNNNNNNNNNNNNNNNNNNNNNNNNNNNNNNNNNNNNNNNNNNNNNNNNNNNNNNNNNNNNNNNNNNNNNNNNNNNNNNNNNNNNNNNNNNNNNNNNNNNNNNNNNNNNNNNNNNNNNNNNNNNNNNNNNNNNNNNNNNNNNNNNNNNNNNNNNNNNNNNNNNNNNNNNNNNNNNNNNNNNNNNNNNNNNNNNNNNNNNNNNNNNNNNNNNNNNNNNNNNNNNNNNNNNNNNNNNNNNNNNNNNNNNNNNNNNNNNNNNNNNNNNNNNNNNNNNNNNNNNNNNNNNNNNNNNNNNNNNNNNNNNNNNNNNNNNNNNNNNNNNNNNNNNNNNNNNNNNNNNNNNNNNNNNNNNNNNNNNNNNNNNNNNNNNNNNNNNNNNNNNNNNNNNNNNNNNNNNNNNNNNNNNNNNNNNNNNNNNNNNNNNNNNNNNNNNNNNNNNNNNNNNNNNNNNNNNNNNNNNNNNNNNNNNNNNNNNNNNNNNNUUUAGGUCACUUUAGGUGGAUUAAAGGAGGGUAGAAUAGGUAGUUUAGGAUAUUUGGGAUUCUAGGGCUUUAAUUUUGAAUUGGUUGACCAAUGAAAAGGAGACUAGUGGCAAGCGUGUGCUGAUCAAUGAGAGGCAUGUGAGGGCGUAUGGCAAGCAUGUGUUUUGGAACGUUGGCGCCUUAUGUGGCGCCAACGUGGAUGCUCGCGUGGCGCUUACGUGGAAGAAGGAGUGUAAGACUGGGCUUCUUCUUGGGGCAGAGUUGGGUUACAUUCUGGAGUUGAAUUUUGUUUAGGUCUUUUCUUUUCUUCUUUUAAAGUUUUUGGGCUUCUAAAUUAAUAACCAAUAUUAUAAGAUGACAAUUGCUAGUUUAUGAAAUAAAAAUAUAUUAUGACUUUAUACUAAUAUAAGAUAUGAAUACUAAACAAGAACUUAUAAUUGAUUUAAUAAAAUGCAAAACUUGAAGAUAAGGUGAAAACAAUCGAUUAAUAAAAAAAAAAGAGUAUAAUAAGUGAUAAUAGUAAUUUCGAUAAUAAAACAUAUAAUUUAGAAGAUAAAUAGUCGUAGUAGUAAAAGUAGUUGUGAAAAGGAUAAUUUUAUACGUUAUCAAAUUUAAAAGCUCGAAAACAAUAAAUCAGAAGAAAGGAGGGUCAAAAUUGGGUGUCAACAGCUUGUCCCUCUUUGACCAGAGACGAUGUAAGAGUUUCUGGGCAAAGAAGUUGACUUAGAAACCAAUUUUGUCCCGACCAACAAGUGCAUCAAAGUUUUCCCCAGUAUGAAUUAUGGUGUCAUCGCGUACUGAGAUUGAGGAGAGUAUUUGAGAGCGAAGUUCGAGGUAGACCUUUGACCUUUGUUGGUGAGUUUGACUCUCCAACAAAUUGCUCCAGUUCGCUGCUUAGAAAUAGUUCCACGUUGUGCUAAAGCUCCUGCAGAACUCAAACUUGACGAAACAGUUAAAUAAUAUUAAACAUAAAGCAUGGUGUGAUAAACACAUGGGAAUAACACCUCCUGGGUGUGAAUUGAUGAAAAUGUGGCCUUGCGAGCCGAAAUGAUUUAAUGAGAUGAGAUCUUGCAAGAUUUAUUAAAAAGGGUUUUUCAGCGAUGACUAAUGAAAAUGAGGCCUUAACCAUAUAAAUUAAGGAUAUAAGGCUUUUAGCCAAAUGAUUGAAAAAUGAGGCUUUUUNNNNNNNNNNNNNNNNNNNNNNNNNNNNNNNNNNNNNNNNNNNNNNNNNNNNNNNNNNNNNNNNNNNNNNNNNNNNNNNNNNNNNNNNNNNNNNNNNNNNUUUGCAUUACUGCAAAACAAGGUAAUCAAAUACUUCCCUACCUCAUUUCUCUAUUACAGUGUUUUCUUAAGAACAUGAAUCUUACAAAAAAUUUAAUCUCGAAUGCUAUUUUCAUCCUUUCUUACGACAAAUUAAUACGUGUACAUAUGAACAAUUUCAUCUAAUUUGCUCUUGCAUGUUUCAGAAUAAAACUAAAUACAUACAUCACUUUCGAUUCUUUAUGCACAUAGUGCAGCUAGGGAGAUUUCUGUGGUAAUAGUUUCGCUUACUUUCGUUCCUCCAGUAGUUUUAGUUCCACUGCCUUGACUUGUUUUGAGGUUAACAAUGAAGUACAGAAAACAAUUGAACAUGCAAAUAAAGUGUUUGGUCAAAGUGUUGAUCUUCAGUAUAACUUCUAUACAAGUUGUGGACAGAACAACAGCUCACAGCCAAACAUUACCACCAAUCUCUUCAAUUUUAGGUUUUAUGGAUUCUGCUGAAUCUUCCAUCUAGAACCCAAAAUAUAAUGCCUUAUAUUCAUCGCUCUUUCUUUGGUUCCAUUUCGCAAUAGAAUCAUUUUGCAGAAUGCCACACAAAUGUGGAUGUUGACCACAUUCUAAUAUGUAAGCUCAAAGAAGGUACGAUAAUCUAACUCUAACAUUAGCCGAUAAUGGAAGAUAGUUAAACAAACGGAAAACCCAAUUGUAACAUCAAUAGAAAAUGGAGCCUUAGAAUGAUAAAAUUACUAUACCACAGAGUCGCAGAUUUAGCAGUAUGAGACCAAAUGUUUCCACUCAAAGCUUAAUCACUUCAGCUCUGCUGAUGUAGCUUCAUUUUGAGAGCUUUCACAAACAAAUUUGUACAUUAGACAGUUAUAGUAGUCCAAUACUCAUGUGUAUGUAUAUCUCCGUUUCAUUCCACGCAAUUCUUUAUGGUUUCAUCUGAUAAACCUCUUCAAAUUUUACACAAACUACUAUGAAAGCUCUUACUUUAUUGGCUAUUUUGUUUUUUUACAGGAAAUAAAUAAAUCUGGUCUUUCUCAUUGUUCAAAUUUCCCAAAAAUACAGAAAAAACAAAUGCAGUUCAGGUAACAAUGUUUUUUAGCUUACAUUUGAACAACAAAAUUUAUCAAUUAACGUGCGAAUUCUUUAUAGCUAUUAAUAUAUCCUUUUUCAUGAUUUACACCUACCAUACAAGUGACAUUUGCAUAUGCUGCCACAAUCUUUAUCUUUAUGUGUAACUUACUGUCAAUAUCAGUCUGUUGCCUUAUUGAGUUAGGUGAUUUGGCCUAGCAAAAUGUUUUCACUAUCAUAUGCCUGAAAUCCCUUUAUAUCGCUACAAAACUCUUAUAAAUAGUUGAACCUAGACAUUAGUUAUUAUUAAUAGUCAAACUGCAAAGUUCCUGAUACACUUUCGUCCAAUAUUAUUUCCACUUAACUGUAGCUGAGUUACAUUAACUAAAUCACAAAAUUAUGAGUACAUACAUGAUAAAUACCAUAGUGCCAACAUUCUGUACAGAUACAUUCAUUUUCCAUCCAGGGUGUAAGUGUCUUAUACAGUUUCUUACAAUAUUACAACAUUGCAGUAGCUAAACUCACUAUAGUUUUUCUUUUGCUCUCUUUUCAUUCCUCUUUAGAAAGAACUUAAAAUAAACCCACAAACAUUACUAUCUACAUAGACAAUAUUACCGAAGCGUGUAAACUUAUCAACACAGGUUCAACUAAAACACAAAUGAAUACACAUGUCGACUUCAUUUUAUAACGUGACUAAUUGACACCUCAUCUUACGCUCUACCUUACGUUUACAAUGUUUAUGGCAUGAAUGCUGAAAAAAGGCAUACCAUCAUUUGAAAAUUUAGAAUUAUAUGGUGCGUUCAACUUUUGAUAUCACAUUACUAUCCAACACAAUAACAGCUGAAAGAAGUGAGGGAAAUCUGUACAAUUAAUUCAAAUUUCGAGUCCAUAGGUCCAUAGGAGUAAUAUAUAUAUAUAAAAGUACAGCUGUCUUUCUCUUAAAAAUUGAUGGGGUUUUGGUAGGCAAUGAAAUUGUGCCAAAAAAGAGACAAAAUGAUUACAUUUGACACUGGAAAGCAAAAUUUGAAGAGGCUUUGGUCUAAUUAUAUAGUGAUGUGGAAUUGUUUUACGGUUACAAAAAAAUUCAUAUAGUGUUCAACGUAUUUUAUUAAUUUUGAUUUUAAUUGAUCUAUUCUUCUCUUUGUGGUCUGCCUUUGUUUUACAGCUUCUUUGGAUAAAUAAAAGAUCUCCAUCUAAAAUUCAACUAACUCUUCCUUUAACUUGCGACUUAAUAUUCAUGUUAUCCUGCAGAUACUACUAUUUGGUUAACUAUCUUUCCUACAAACAUGGUACUAAGAGUGAACAUCGACCAAAUAGAACCAGCAACACGAGAUUGGAUUUGCAAAGUUCAAAUUGUCGAAAUAGGCCGCCCACGAGAAAGCCUUGACAAGAAAUGUACAUUCCAAAAUUUAAUUUUGGAAGAUGAAGAGGUCAGCUCAUUAUUAUAUUUUACGUUAUGACUAUUGCUCUUUUCCUCACAACUUAGUUAAUCUCAACUUUCUGUAACUCUUACUUUCAGGAAUGCCAAAUUAAGGCAGUUAUGUACACUGACGAAAUUGCGCAGUAUGCAGCUACGCUUAAACUCCUCAAUACCUACCUCAUCUCUACUGCAAAAGUGAAAGUCUCACCAACUUCAUACGGCAAACCAAUACAUAAUUUUUACUGGAUUCUUGACAAAGAAACAAUAAUUGAACAAAUCAAAGCAUCUCAUGAAGUUGAAAAACCACUUUCACCGCCAACUAAGCUGAAUAUCACCAGCUUUGACCGCAUUCCUCAUCUGAUGGUUGAUUCUGCUGCUGAAAUAGGUACAUCCAUCGUACUAGCUGUUACCAGACUGAAAUAUACAUCUUUACUGCUGCAGAAGACUUGCAACAUUUCAUUAUGUACUAUAUACGCAGAUAUAUUAGCAAUCGUUCUUCGCUGUGGUUCUCAAAAAAUCGCCGGUCGCAGUCAUCAUAGGUGCCGAGAAAUUACCCUUUGUGACAAUCAGUAAGUAUCAUAUUUGACAUUGUAGUUUCCCAUUUUCUGCAAAUAUUUUUAAUGAGUAACCACUUUCUGCAUUUCUCUACUCACAUCAUCAAUUAUCGUCUAAGCAUUAUCAUAGUACUUACUCUUCUGUCCUUCUGUUCUGACACUCUCAGGAAAAAUCAGUUUCUCUUCACUCUAUGGGAGGAUUUUGGAGAAAUAGAAGGACAUGAAAUUUCCUCAAAAAUGGCAACAUAGGCAGAUCUGCUUGUAAUCCUCGGAAGGAGUAUAAGAAUCUCUACUUAUCAAGGUACGUAUGUGCUCAACUUCUUACCAACAUAAUUUUAUAUAAUAACAAAACAAUAUACAACCUAUGUGUUAUACAAGGUUGUCACUGCAGACUAGGUACAAUUCGACAGUACGUGUAAAUCCUAAUUACCCACAGGCAGUGGCACUCAUCAACUUGUACUCACAUUUCAUAUUUAUUCUAUAGCUUUACUUUGCAUCUAAAUAACCUGCUAAACAUAUUAUUUGGUCUAACAAUAGGGCAAAAGAAAACAAAACAAUGUUGUUAGGUUCUCCAUCAGAGAAAACCUCAACAAGCUCAUCUAUCACUCCCAUGAUAGUCACUCCUGCUGGCCAACAACUUAUCUCUAUUGCACAAAUCUCAUCAGCACCUUCUGUAAGUCAUACUUCAACCUGCUCAUUUGAGAGUAUCUGUAUUCAUUUUCUGAUUCUGUAGCUUUUGCCUAAAUGAUGAAAACUUCCCACAGAUGGGAGUGUUCUAUGUUGAAGCAGAGAUGGCCAUAUUAGAUGAGUUCCAAGACUUUUGUGUGCUUGAAUGCUCAGGAUGCAAACAGAAGAAGCGGACAAAGGAUAGAAAGGAUUUUGAAUGUCCAAAAUACAAUCGGNNNNNNNNNNNNNNNNNNNNNNNNNNNNNNNNNNNNNNNNNNNNNNNNNNNNNNNNNNNNNNNNNNNNNNNNNNNNNNNNNNNNNNNNNNNNNNNNNNNNNNNNNNNNNNNNNNNNNNNNNNNNNNNNNNNNNNNNNNNNNNNNNNNNNNNNNNNUUUGUCCAUUCUUUCCUACAUGGAAAAACAACAUACUCCACAGAGCACUACUGAUAGGACUCCUAAAAAGAUAAAGCCUUUGGAAAUAAGUGAGGUAGAAGUCAUGGCAACAACUGCUACAGCUGGUCCUUCAAAUGCACCGGCAAAAUUUGAACCACCCACACCAACCAAAAAGGUGUAAAAGGUCAGUCUACAUCUCACUUUCACACCAAACUAUAGCCCAAAAUGAUUAUGAAUUCCACAUAAUUACAUUUAGUGCUAAAAUUGCUGCUAAAGGUCUCUACUUUUACCUGUAGUUUACUUUCUUUUAUACACCUAUCCACAUAAUUCCUCUAAAACAUUGUAAGUGUCAUACUGCUGCUUUUGCAAUUGCUCUUAUCUGCUUUCAAAUUUCUCAAAUUUGUUUUAUUUAUUAUGUCUGACAUAAUAUUGCACAGUCUCCCAUUAACUCAGGGCUAAAAACUCUCUAUCCAUGUUCAUAUCCAUGCUCAAAUCAAUUGGUUAACAAUUUCUUUUUUAAUUCCUCCUCUCAUGUUCACUGUUUAUAAUACACAGUUAUCAAUAGGAACAAUAGGAACGAGGUUUCUGUCUACUAGCUAACCUCAUUCACCGUAGACUAUUACGCCAAUCACACACAGAUUCAACCGCAAGUCCAUCAGUUUUAUGCUGAUUUCAUGCUUUUCUUUCUAUUUGCUCCCUAUAUUAAAAUUGCUUUGCUAUCUGUUGCCAUAUUUGCACUUUCUAACAUACUUUAAACUGUCUAAUUACUGGAACUCCCUCACACCAUUUUGUCACUUUUGCUUAUGCUAAGGACAAUAUAAUGAAUGACUCUCCCUACGCUCUGGUUUUUUGCAUCAGCAAGAUUAGCUAUGCACAGGCAAACUGCAGUGUCCUCUAAAUAUGAUAGACAAUGACAUGCUAAUCUUAUAUACCAAAACUGCAACAUGUACUAUAUUAUUUUGGUUUAUUAUUACAUUAGUUAGUAUGUGUCAACCGUUCAACUCGACAUCAUAGUUAUGUCUUAUUGUACAUAUUUUAAAUAUUUCUAAUAGUACAUAAUAUAAUAGAUCAUAUUAUAUGUCUUCUACAAACGCCCUGACCCUUGAUUCAUUAAUAUUACAAUAUUUUUACAGCCAUAAUAUUUUUACUAUUGGGCCCGUGCUUGCCACGGGCCUCCCUACCCUAGUUAUAUUAUAAGUGGAAAGCCUAUAUGUCAAAAGUUGAAUUACAAAAAUGUCCUUACAAUAUCAUAAUAUUUAUGGACAAAAAUGUAAAUAUACAUUAAAUAUAAAUAAAAACUAUUGUAUUUUCUAUUAAAUACUAUUAUUACAUAUUUAUGAACAAAAAUAUAAAUACACAUUAAUUAUAAUAAAUAUCAUAAUAUAUUUAUAAUAUUAAUAUUAAUAUUCUAAAAAUGGAGAACUCACAAUUAAUGACAUGAAUUAAUAUAGAUACAAUGAAUAUUUGUACAAUUGGAUGAUAUCCUAUUAAAUGAUAAAAGGAAAUCAAAAGUUCUGCAACAGUUAAAAUGACCCUUUAAGUGUACCUCAGUUACUUUUACCGUGCAAAGGUAUAAAACUUUUCACAUGAAUUAUAUUCAUAACAUUAUAUUAAAUGCUAAGUAAUUGCUUCAGUAAAUACUUACUAUGGAAGCUUGCAAUCAUUGGACUUUUGAUUAAUAAUCCUAUAAAGUUGAGUUACUACAAUAAUAUCAUCAUUAAUUAUUAAUUAUUUCACUAAAAAUAGAUGCAAAAAAAGUUAAAAGUUGAAAUACCAAAAUAACCCUAUAAAGUUGAGUUAUUAUUUGACUGUGUGUGUUUGUGUAGUUUAAAAUUGUAUGGAAUACACGUGCAAAGUACGUGUCCAAGGACUAGUACUAAAAUAAAGGUAACAUCAAUUUUAGCUAACUAAAAUUGAUGAAUGGAAGUAGACAAGUAGUGAAACAACAUGCUAAACAUCAAGAGGAUUCAACAGAGUCCCCAUGAACAAAAUAGCACCAGCAGUCUCAUCUUUCACAAGGAACAAGAAGGGAUGAUCAGCAACAAAGUCUAUCUCCUCCUCAUUAAACAUUGUCAAUGAGCACCCAAACGUAUUCAAAGCUACAGUAACAGCUGCAGCUUCUGUACCUUCCUCGUUCACUUCAAUAAACGACUUGUGAAAAACAUGUGUAACUACCAGAGGCAAAUUCUCGCCCACCAUCUCAGUGAGACCGGCAGUAAAAGGUAAUGUGAGGCCGAGUCCCUUUAGAACAUUAGAAGCUUCAAGUCCAAAAGAUAUAUUGAACUUAGGGAUAAGAAACUUGCGCACUCUAACUUUUGUUAACGGAAUAUGUUGAUCUAAACAUCCAGGUUCUGAACUAAUUUUCUCCAGUAAAGCUGGUAAUCCGUCACGUGCAUCUGGGAGUAACAUAUACAUGCUGAGAAAUCGCUUGUCCUCACCCUGUUUAUAAGGAAGUUUUAACACUUUGAAACCAUUAAACACCUUCACAUAUUGCCAUUUUCGGCUGGUCAUUAAGGGUGCUUGAACAGAUCCUCCAUUGAGGAGAUGGAACUCGUGGUCUUUCGUAUCUGAAGCAUCAAAUUUCUCAUUCCAGGCUCCUUUGAAAUAUAGUGCAUUCGCCAAGAUCAGCUGAGUCCCGCCAGUGACUACACCAGGAGGAAGAAUCUGUUUGAUGAGACCAUUUGUUUUCUCUUUUGCCCACUUAUUGACUUCAGCAGCAACCUCAUCAGCCUUAAUAACAAACAGAGAACAUAAAAUUAGCUGCCUAUUAACAGGAUAUAGCUGAAUUAAGAGAAAUAAACAAGAUCUCCUAUAUGCACAUUAAAUUCAUUUGUUCAUAUUCUGUAAACCAACAUGCUCAUAAUAUUUUGUUAUGUGGCCCACUUUCUACUUUGAGAGUCAAAUUUUUCAAUUUCAAUUUGAAUUUGGACAUGAAAUUAUUAAUUCUUUUGACAUAAACUUUACAAAUAUAUUACCGACUAUAUACGUAAGAACUACAUUAAAUCACAAUAACUAACAAUUCAAAACAUUUUACAAGGUAUGUUAAAAAAUCGAGGUAAAGGAAAACUUGUCCCAAAAGGUGCCAAGGGGAGUAUUAUCACGUAAUAUCCAACAUUUCUAAUGUGCUUAUACUCAUCGAGAGUCAAAACUUUUCAAUUUUGACAUAAAAUCACAUAUUCAAAGACUAUGUAAAAACUAAAACGUACUAUAAAUCUUGUUUGAUUUUUCAAAAUUCGAAAGAUGCCUCAUAAAUUUGGUAUGGAGAGAAGUAUCACAUAAUAUCAAAUAUUACAUGUAUGCAAUUUAUUUUUCUAAUGAGUGAAGGAUUAAGACUAAUAUAAUUACCUUGUACCGAAUAUCAACAGAAGCUGCAGUAGCCUUAUAAACAUUGUCCAUAACCUGUUUGAAAGAAUGCUUAAACGAGAGAGUUUGAUCAAUCCAAGCUCCAUUAGCAACGGACAAACGAGGACCUCCCAUAGGGCUUCCAUCGGCUAAAACAUCAGCAAUAACCCGAGCAUAAACAGAGUUAAGUUCUUCAACAGAGUUAAAUUUGAGAAAACUCAACAAUUGAUCCAAUGUAGCACCACUGGAUCCAGAAGCAAUAAGGCCGAGAACAAUUUGAAUUGAGAGUGGAGAAAACACCAUAUUUGCAUUUUUAGACGGAUCGUAAUCGGGUUUUCCAUAGUUGUUGAAGAAUAAAUGCUUUGCGAGAAUGGAAGAAACGUGGCUCUGCUUUUGAAGCAAUGCGCGGCGAUGCAUAAAGUUGAACUGAGAACUGAAAUCCAUAACUUUUUUUGUGUGAUGAAUGAAAUUGAAGUUGAGAGAGACGACUCUUUAUAUAGGAGUUGGUUAGCGUUGUGUUAAUAACGUGCUCGUAAUACUUACGCUACUGUUUAUUUUUCUACUGUAAUUAAUUAAAUUUAAGGUAUGGGUUAAUUAUUUGCUUUUAACAUACGCAGGAUUGAUAAUUAAACGCCUCUAAUUAACUGAUUUUGGUUAUGUAGGAGUUGAUUAGCGUUUGUGUUAAUUAAUACCGUGUUUUGUGAUUAUAAUUGGAUGCAUGAAAAGUGGAGUAAUACUUACGCUACGCUUUUAACCAACGCCUUUACUUAAUUUUCCAAUUUUAGUUUUUCUUCCUUGUCCGUUUAAAAAAGAAUAUAUACUUUCCUUUUUAAUCUAUUUAUAAAAGAAUGACCUUUUCUUUUACAAUACUAUAACUUUAACUCUUAGUGACAUGUUUAAAACCAUAAGAUUAAAAUUUUAAAAUCCAAAUUGUAUGUUUGAAUGAAGUUUUAACUUCAUAAACAGAGUAUAUAUAAAAAACAUUUUAUUACUUUCAAACUUUAAAUCAUAUCAAAAUGAACAAACAAAUUAAGCACAAAUGAAAUUUCUAUGAAAGAUUGACAAUUCACGUUGCCUUAAUUCGUUCUCUCGAAACUCAAACUUAAAACAAACUUGACAUGAAUUAUUACGUUAGUCAAGCCUAGGGGUGUUUUAAUUAGUACUAGGCAUCAUGGACGAAAGUAAUGAUUCACGUCAAGUUUGGAGUGUUUUCACCACUUCACUCUUCUUUGUUGGUUGAGUAGGGCUAACCAGCUAGAGGAUUCAUUACAGUCCCAAGGAACAAUACGACACCAGUAGAUUCAUCUUUUAUAAGGAACAGGAAUGAAUGAUCAGCAACAAAGUCGAUUUCCUUCUCAAUAAACAAGGACAAUGGCAUUAUUAGAGUAACCGUAACAGCUGCAGCUUCGGUGCCUUCCUCAUUUACCUCAAUGAAGGACUUGUGAAAAACUUUUGAAACAGAUAGAUUCUCAGGUAAAGUAGAAUCAACCAUCUCAGUGAGACCACCACCGCAGAAAGGUAACGUUAGGCCAAGUCCCUUUAGAAUGUCGGAAGCUUCAAACUUGAAAGUUAUUUUGAAUUUAGGGAUAAGAAACUUGCCCACACUAACUUUUCUUAACGGAACGUGGUGAUUUAAGAAUCCAGGUUCUGUACUGAUUUUGCCAAAUAAAGCGGGUAAUCCAUCAUGUGCAUCUGGAAGAAUGAAGUACAUUGAGAAGCAACGCGUAUCUGUUCCCUGUUUAUAAGGAAGCCUCAAUACUUUAAAGCCAUUAAAUGCUGCUAUGUACUGCUUUUUCUUGCUACUCAUGAAGGGUACUCGAAUAGGCAACCCAUCGAGGAGAUGGAACUCGUGGUCAUUUGUUUCUGAAGCAUCGAACUUCUCAUUCCAUUCACCUUUGAAAUAUAGUGCAUUGGCCAAGAUCAGCCUUGUCAUGUUGUCCACUGCAUCACGAUCAAGAAUGUGUUCGAUGAGACCAUUUGUCUUCAUUUUAGUCCACUGGUUGACUUGAUCGACAACCUCAGCAGCCUUAAUCAAAUUGGCAAGACAAACAUGGAAUAGUAGAAUUAGACAUUUCAUAUUAGUAAUUGCAGUCAUUUGUACGUAUUAGACAUUUCAUAUUAGUAAUUGCAGUCAUUUGUACGUAUUAGACAUUUCAUAUUAGUAAUUGCAGUCAUUUGUACUCAAUUCACAUAACGUUGGAGGCUUAUAAAAGGGAAAUCGGUGCACUAAGCUCCCCUGAUGCGCAUGGUACAGUGAAAGGCUAGACCAUACGAGUCUAUUUCACGCAGCUGUAUCUUGCAUUUCUGCAAGAAAUUGUUUUCACAGAUUGAUCUGAUGACCUCCUGGUCACACGACAACAACUUUACCAGCCACACCAAGGCUCCCUUCGUUUAGAGGCUUAAAAUGUUAGACAAACAAAUUGAAGCGGAGAGAGUAAUAUUUGAACGAAAGAUUAAGGCCUAACCUUGUUUUGAAAAUCAACAUACUCUGAAGCCGCCUUGUAAACAUUAUCCACGACCUGCUUGAAAGACGGUUUUAAAGGCAGCGUUUGAUCGAUCCAAAUGCCAUUAGCAACGGACAAUCGCAAACCUCCAUUGGGGCUGCCAUCACGAAAGACUACAUUGGUAAUAUGUGAAUAAAGAGAGUUGAGCUCAUCAAUGGAUUUGGACUUGAGGAAACAGAGAAGCUGAUCCUGAGUAGGUCCAUCAGAGCCAGCAGCAAUAAGGCCAAGAACAAUUUGAAUUGAGAGAGGAGAAAGCACCAGGUUGGUAUCGCCUUUAACUACGUUGGAGAAAACAUGCUUAGCAAGCAUGAAAGAAAUAUCCGUCUGGCUGGUGAUUGACUCGUGAAGAUCCAUAUUUGCACACGAACAAGAUGAAGAGGAAGAAGGAGGCUUAGUGAGUAGAAUGAAUGAUCACAAAGCUGAAAGCUUUGCAAGAAUUUAUAUACUAUACAGGAAUUGAGUCAGUACACAGGAAGUAAUCAAUGGAAGGAACGCGUAGCACUGACUUUCCACAACAAAAAUCAAUUAUUAUAUGGUCAAUGUUGAUUGAUUGGGACCAACAGAAGGUGUUAGACGGAAACAACACCAAAAUAACACGGAGAAGGAAAGUAGAGCAUGUCCCACCAGGGGUUGACUUCAGAGUUAUCAACCUGUUGUUUCCGAAGCACAUAAUGGUGACAUUUUGCAUCUCUAUUUAAGGAUUUGAGUCGCACAAAUAACAGUUAUUAUCUCAAGAAAUCACAUUUCUUCCGGAUUCCAAUUUUUUUCAACAAAGAAAGUGAUUAUCUGGGAUAAUAAUUAUUGGUUAGUCAUUAAGUUGUUUUGAUCAAAUCAGCUUCAAGGUCCAGGUGGAUGUUAAGGUAUAUAAUAUCUAAAGAAGAACGAGUACAAGAAGGAGAAAAUGACAUGUUACCUUAAGGAUAAUGUUUAAUAUGCAUUAGACAUAUAAAUUAUAAUUAAGUAAUACUGUGACCUAAACAAUUAUGAAAGCUCCAUCAAACAAUUGCUUAUUGAUCAUUACCUUUACAAUUUCAUUUCAAAAAGUUCUAUGCAUACAUGUUAAAAGUAAACUCUUUUAAGUUUUUCUUAAACUCAAUAUCAUGUCGAAAUACACACAAAUAUUAAGCAUAGAAGAGUCAAUUAUAUAAGGUGCCAAAGACAGUACAAGAUCUCAUCAAAAUAAUACACAAAUCAGGAAACUGGUUAUUUAGAUACAUAGCAUCCAUCUCUCAUCAAACAGAAACACAAGUGAGGAAACUGUAAACUGUCCUUCUUUACAAAGUUUUAUAUUAUCAUGCAAUAUGGUCUAAUUAACCAGCUAGAGGAUUCAGCACGCUCCCUAUGAACAACACAACACCAGUAGCAUCGUCUCUUAUAAGGAACAUGAAUGGAUGGUCAGCAACAAAGUCGAUUUCUUUCUCAAUUAUAAAAGACUUAGUCAUUACUACACUAGCUGUAACAGCUGCAGCUUCAGUUCCUUCUUCAUUUACCUCAAUGAACGACUUGUGAAAAAUCUGUGAAACAAACAACCUGCCACCUAACGCAGAAUCCACCAUCUCAGUGAGGCCACCACUAGUGAAAGGGGAAGUGACACCAAGUCCCUUUAGAACCUUAGAAGCUUCAAAACCAAAAGUUGUUUUGAAUUUAGGGAUAAGUAACUUGCGCAUUUUAGCCUUUUCAAACGGAACGUGGUGAUUUAAAAAUCCUGGUUCUGAACUGAUUUUGUCUAUUAAAGCUGGUAGUCCAUCACGAGCAUCUGGCAAAAUUAGAUACAUGCAGAAACGACGUGUAGUAUCUCUACCUUGUUUGUAAUGAAGUACCAAUACUUUAAAGCCAUCAAAGGCUACUGCAUACUGCUUCUUAUUGCUGGUCAUGAAAGGUGCUUUAAUAGACCCUCCUCUGAGGAGAUGGAAUUCAUAGUCUUUUGUUUCUGAAGCAUUGAAUUUGUCGUUCCACGCUCCUUUAAAAUAUAGCGCGUUUGCAAAGAUGAGCCUUGUCAUAUUGUUUACUGUGCCAUGAGGAAGUAUCUCUUUGAUGAGAUCAUUUGUCUUCAUUUUAGCCCAUUGAUUGACUUGAUUGGCAACCUCAGUAGCCUAAAUCAAUUAGUAAAACAAACAGAUUUUAUGUCAGAAUUAACAUUAUGCUUUAGUUAACAAAAGGGAAUUUCAAUGAAACAAAUUACAAUAAGGCCUACCUUGUUCUGAAAAUCAACAGAAUUUGAAGCAGCCUUGUGAACGUUAUCCACAACCUUUUUAAAAGAAGGCUUAAAAGGCAGCGUUUGAUCGAUCCAAACACCAUUAGCAACGGACAAACGCGGACCUCCAUUGGGGCUGCCAUCAACAAAGACAAUAUUGACAAUAUGAGAAUACAGAGAAUUGAGUUCAUCGAUGGAUUUGGACUUGAGGAAACAGAGAAGUUGAUCCUUAGUUGUCCCCUUUGAUCCUGCAGCAAUCAGGCCUAGUACUAUUUGAAUUGAGAGAGGAGAGAACACGAGGUUGGUAUCGCCUUUAAUCUCUUUAGAAAAGACAUGCUUUGCGAGAAUGAAAGAAACAUCCGUUUGGGUGGUGAUCAAUUCACUCAUUUCCAUAUCAAUAUGUUGAUCAUGGAAAGAAUUAGACGAGUAAGAAUGAGAAUGAUGAGAGCGAGAGUGAGUCAGUCCCAUGACGGGUUUAUGGCACCACACACGAUAUCAAAGGUAAAAGCUUUGGAAGAAUUUAUACUUAACAUGUGGAAUUUCGUAUUUGGAUCAAUUCCAUAGAAUCGAGAAAUGGCAAAUAAAGAAAAUGACUGAUCAUUAAGCUUGAUUCUCAGAAGAUUGCGUUCAUACACGUAAGUCGUAACACUGACUUUCAACAAGCUAAGUAGAGUCAAGAUAUUGUUAUUUAUUGAUUGGAUAAGCAUGUAGCUUGAAAAUUAAGCAGAUACUUUUUCUUCUUUUUUAUUUAUGGUCUAUCUGGUAUAACAUGAAUUGUUAAAGCUCAUGUCAUAUAAUUUCAUAUCGCUAGCAUCACUCGUUCCCCUCCUCUUUGUAAUUUUAUUUUCUUAAAAAACAAAAAAUCGACGAGUAAAAUUAUAUGACCAAUACUCAUAUGCCAAUCGAAUACUAUAACAAGUGACAAACUAAGACGUACACAACUUCUGUAGUUAAUAAUAUGAUAUUCAUCAUAUCAUAUAUCAUAUCAUAUAUUAUUAUAAGUGGGAAGCUUCAAAAGUGAAAAGUUAAAUUACCAUUUUACCCCUACACUAAAUCAAAUAUUUAAUUAAUUAAAUAAUAAAUAGUAAAAUUUAAAUUAACUAAGACUAAAUACACGUUCUAGAGUGAGUUAAUAAGUAAACAUCUAAUUAAUUUAAUAAUAAAUAGUAAAACUAAAAUUACCUCAAGGGUUUAUAGUAAAAUUUUAAAAGUUUGAAGACUUAAUUACACGUUUUAGGGAGAUUACAUAAGAAGUUUAACAGCCCUAUUUCUAGGUUUACUUGUAUUUCUAUAUUAAUGCUCCACAUUUCUAAAGGUGUGCAGUUUUUUCUUAUUAACAGAAGAAAAAGAAACUCAAAGGACUAAGCAAAUAAUUAAAUGUUUGGAAAUGUGAAAAGAUAUAUUUCAGAUAAUAUCAUAAUAAAGAUUGUACAUGUAUGUAUAGCCUAGAAUAAUUACUGGUAUAUGAAAAGACCCCCCCCCCCCACCCACCAUUUACCCGAUUAAUGCCACUGAUUUUAUUUAUUACCAAGGUAUUAAAAGUGUAUUAUUAUAUAUGAAUGAAUUAAUAUUAAAUUAAUAAUUAAUGAGAUGGUUUGUAGUUGCCUUAUUUAUUACUAAUUACAAUGAUUUAUAUUUUUCAUCUUCUUAUUCAUUCAAAUUAGACUAGAUUCCAUGUUUAGAGCAGUAAUUAGUGGCAAUGUUAAUUCUCUUACUUAGUCUAAUUAUGAUUUGUAUUUUUCAUCUUCCCAUCUAUAUAUUAAACGACUAUUAUUUAGAACUGAAAAUAGAAUUUGAAUAGACAUUUUCAGUACUAUUUAAGAACUGGAUGAUGACUAUUGAAAAAUGAAAGAAACUGUCCUUCAACUUGAGAAGAGGAUAAUCAAAAAAAUUAUCGCAUCUAUGAUAGGCAAAAAAGACAGGAAGAAAUAGUAUAAAUUAAAGGAGUAAAUAGAAUACAUGGGAGAAGAAGUUUGCCUAAGACUUCUUUUUAGAUAUGCCUAAGUCCUCAUAUCUCUUUCGGUUCUCCAUUAGGGAUUAUUGUUUUUUAUAAUUUCUUUUACAUUUCUAAUGAACUCAUUGUAGUGUCGUGAUCUUUUAGCUAUUAUUAUGAGCUUUUGGAAUAGAUGUAUGUAUGAAGUCCAGUGUGUUAAUUUUUUAUCUGUCACUUUUAUAUAUUGGAUGUAAUUGCUUUUUAAUCUUGUAAAUUUUUGAAAGUGUAACUUCAUGUAUUCUUUCAUUAGCCUUUUAAUUCUAGAACUUUACUUAAAUAAUACACAUAUUUCACGCUCCGUUUCUCAUUAAAAUAAAAUAGGCAAUCUUGUCAAGAAGCGUGCAUGAUUUUUUUAUCCAUUCAUGGCUAUAAAAGGUUAUCAAUGAUAUUUAGAUCAUAAAAAAGACGCACACAAAGUUAAGAGACUAUAUUAUCUUAAUUAAUUUUACAUAUUUCUUGUUUGAUACGAAAUGCUCAAUCCCUUUUUAUGUAUUUUAUUUAAUACAUGAAAAUUGGUAAAAUUAAUAUUGUUGAUUUAAACAUUUUCUAUUUGUUAACAUAUUUAAAAGUUGGAGGGCAUAAAUGUAAAAUGAUGCCAAAUUAAGGGGCACAUUAUUAUUAUUAUUAUUAUUAAAAGUGGGAAGCUCCAAAGUGUAAAGUUGAAAUACCAUUUUACCCCUUUACUAAAAAAAAAAUUUUUUAAAUUAUAUAACAAUAGUAAGGGAUAAACGUGCACGUUUGAGAAACUAGUUCUGAAAUAAAGGUAACAUCAAUGUAACUAACUAGAAUUGACGAAUGGAAGUAGUGAAGCAACAUGCUAAACAGCAAGAGGAUUCAACAGAGUCCCCAUGAACAGAACAGCACCAGUAGUCUCAUCUUUGACCAGGAACAAGAAUGGAUGAUCAGCAACAAAGUCUAUCUCCUCUUUAACCAUCAUCAUUGAGCAACCGGUCAUAGCAGUAACAGCUGCAGCUUCUGUACCUUCCUCGUUUACUUCAAUAAACGACUUGUGAAAAACUUGUGAAACUGCCAGAGGCUCAUCCGCGUCCACCAUCUCAGUGAGACCAUCAAUAAAAGGUAAUGUGAGGCCGAGUCCCUUUAGAACCUUAGAAGCUUCGAAUCCAAAAGAUAUUUUGAACUUAGGGAUAAGAAACUUGCCCACACUGACUUUUCUAGACGGAAUGUGGUGAUCUAAGAAUCCAGGUUUUGAAGUGAUUUUGUCAAGUAAAUCUGGUAAUCCGUCAUGUGCAUCAGGGAGAAUAAAAUACAUGCUUAACUUCUGAUGUGUGUCUAUGCCCCUUUUAUAGGGAAGCUGCAACACUUUAAAGCCCUUGAAGACUCUAAUGUAUUGCUUCUUCCAGCUAGUCAUGAAGGGUGCUCGAACAGACCUUCCAUUGACGAGAUGGAAUUUAUGUUUUUUCGUUUUAGAAGCAUUGAACUUCUCAUCCCAUUCUCCUUUAAAAUAGAGUGCAUUGGCCAAGAUGAGCCUUGUCAUAUUGUCUACUGCGCCAUGAGGAAGGAUCUCUUCGAUGAGUCCAUUUGUAUUUUUUUUAGCCCAUCGAUUGACUUUAUUGACAACCUUGCAGGCUUUGAGGUGAAGACAAACAGAGUAGGACAAGAAUUAGUACAUAUAUAGAUACACUCAAAAAUCUUAUAACUAACAUUCAACAAAAAGUACAACUUCAUAGUCAGAUUGAUGGAUUAACAACAGUAUAAUCUAAAUAUUAAUUGAUAUUGACUAUAUGAAUUAUCAGUAUUAAUUAUGUUUAAUUCAAGUCCAUAGCACCGGCCACAACAACAACAAUAUCAAUCUACAAAUAUCUAAAACUAAUUGCCAUUCAGUGGAAUACAUGGUCAAGCCGGCUUACACGCUCCUCGACUAUUCCAACAAGUAAUGGCUACCUCCCUAACUUUGUCCACCAAAGCUUGGCUAGAUUGACGAAAUUACCUAAUGUUUUUCUCACUCCAUUAUAUAAUGGAUAGAGUCAAAUUGAUUUUUUUUGCCACUAUUCACAACAAACAAUACAACACAGUACAAUACAAUACAGGAUAAAACAAUAUAUUAUGAAACAACCGGUAGCAAUCAUCCAAACAAGCUGAAGGACUAACCUUGUUCUGAAAAUCAACAGAUUUUGAAGUAGCCUUGUAAACCUUCUUCACAAUCUCCUUAAAAGAAGGCUUAAAAGGUGUUGAUCGGUCGAUCCAAGCACCAUUAGCAACGGACAAAAUGGGACCACCAUUGGGGCUUCCAUCAGCAAAAAUGUUGUUGACAAUAUGAGAAUACAGAGAAUUAAGUUCAUCAAUGGAUUUGGACUUGAGGAAACAGAGUAGCUGGCUCUUAGUUGGUUUGUUUGAGCCGAAGGCGAUUAAGCCAAGAAUUAUUUGAAUUGACAGAGGAGAGAACACCAGGUUCGAAUCACCUUUAACUUCUUCGGAGAAAACUUGUUUAGUUAGCCUGAAAGAAACAUCCGUUUGGUUUGUGACAAACUGUUCCAUAUCGAUAUUUGCUUGCGAAGAAGAUGUAUGAGUGACUUUUCUUUUUCUUUUCUUCAUCAUUGCUUCAUCCAUGGUUUCAAAGUUGAAAGCUUUGCAAGAAUUUGAUGUGAAUAAUAUGUAAUAUGAUGAAUAUUGCACGUUAAAUAUGAUGAUAGUUUCUUGUAGCCCAAGUUUACAAGUUUUACUUUAAUUAGGAGAUUGUGUACCAUAAAUAUGGACACUUACCAAGAAUUUUAUACAAAAACCUAAGAUUUUAAGUUGUUAAAUUCUUAUUUGGUAUACUUUUUAGCACUCUUAACUCUAAAAAGUAAUUAAUAAAAUUCAUAAACACACAACUGGAACAUAUUUCCUCAUCAUCAGAUCUAGUCUUACUUGCAUUUGAUGUUUACAUCAAACCAAGCAAUUCAAUUUAAUUGUGGCGAUUAGCAAUUCGAGUAACUGUGCAACAAUACUGAAUCUAGAUUUUGAAUUGAUUUUGUUAUGUUAAAGCAGGUAGUACCAUUAUAAGCAUUACGCAAAAACAGGUACAUGGAAAAGUCGCACUUAUUAUCAUGGCCUUGAUGAUAUAGAAGAUGCGAAACUUUGAAACCAUUAUUAUCUUUAACAACUUGCUCUGUUUCGCUAGUCUUGAAGAGAGUUGCCAUUAAAUUCCUAACUUAUGAAUUUUGGCUUAUAAGUCAAAAACCGAGGUACUCCUUUGUCUUUGAAGCAUUGAAUUUCUCAUUCCAGGUUCCGCUGAAGUACAAGUACAAAGCAUUGAGAUAUAUGAACCAACUAGGCCACAUAAAUUGGGACGGAGAAACUACUUUUUCAAAUUAAAGUUGACAAAAAUUUCCUUCUAACUAUUAGUUGAAGCAAGUGUUACUGAACAAGAGUUGAAAUAUUCUUUACAAAAAUGAUUAACGAAAUUUAUUGAUAAAAUAUGAAGUCUUUGGACAACUCAAGGUCACACAGUCACACUUCAUCAGUUAUUUUCUAAUAACACUUUAAUUUAAACACAAACCCUUAAAGUUCUUAAGCAAAUACUAAUUUAAGAAACUAAUCAUCCAAAUCACUUGAUGAAUGAUCAUUUGAUGGAUCUAGUACAGCUCCAGUGAAAAGCACCAAUCUUGAAACCUCUUCCCUUAUCAUGAACAAGAAAGGGUGAUCGGCUACAAAUCUUGGUGCCUCAUACAUCGAAAAUCCCAUGUCAUCAUCUGAUUCCUCAGUAACAGCUGCUGCCUCAGUACCCUUCUCAUUUACUUCGAUAAAUGCCUUUUGUAUUAUCCUGUUGAUAAAGAAUGGCCCAUGAGGUUCCACGAUCCCUGUUAACUCAUUGCAAUUGUUAUCAAAAGGAAGAGUCAAUCCCAUUUCCUUCAUUGUUCUUAUAACUUGUUUCAUUGCAGUGUACGAGAAUUUGAACUUUGGGAUGUAGAAUGCAUCAAGUGGUUCAGCCGAAAGACUGAAGCCUUGGGUAAAGAAACUUGGAUCAGAAUUCACUUUUUCCAAUAAGCUAGGUAAUCCAUCUUUUUCAUUUGGAAGGAAAAUAAACAUAGAGAAGACUUUUUUAUCGUCUUUUUUUCCAGUUUGAUAUGGAAUUUUAGCAACUUGAUAGCCUUCAAAUGAUCCAUAUUUGUAAUCGUAGCAGCCAGUCAUGAAGGGAACUGAGAUUUUGUCACCAUUGAGAAGGUAAAAGUCUUUGUCAAUGGUGCGUUCUUGAUCAAAGUUCCAUGUACCUUUAAAAUACAGAGCAUUUGUGAGAAUGACCUUUGUUUUAUCAUUGAUGUGAUUUGGCUUUAUAAUGUUUGUGAUAAGGCCUCUUGAUGCAGACUCUACCCAGGUGUUAACUUCUUCUACCACUUCUUCCUGCAGCAUAAUGAAUUCAUUCUGUUUAUUUGCUAUGCACAAAUCCAUUCAUAAGUUAAUACUGAACUCAAUUUAUUUAUGGAGUUCAGCAUUGUACACAAAAUAGCUUGAAGGUAAAACAUUUGACAUGGGAAUCUAUAUAUAAUAUAUUUUUGAUACAUCAAAUUGGUAUGAAAACCAUGCGAAAGUACGUGGUUCAAAUUACAGCUAAACUUUGGUAGGCAAAGACACCGAUACUUGAAAUAGUGGUGGAAGGACACAAGUACAUUCGAGGUGCACCAUCAUAAGAAGAAAGGAGUUUAGGUUCUAUCUUCCACUGUAAACAGACUACUAUUCCAAUCAAGGAAGGAUAAUUCAUGCUCUAAAUAGCUACUAGUUUGUUGAAAUGAUGUAUAUGAUAAUUCAAGAUCUACUUCUCAACUAAACCACCAAUACAAAUAAUUUCACUUUUCUGUAAGCAAAUUUCAAAAACAUUACAAAGAAAAUUAAAUUUUGAGCUUGUUUGAAUGGUUGUUAACUUUUGUGCUGUACUGGUUUAAAGGGAUAAAAAGGACAAAGUGAAGAUACAAUAACCAAGUCUAUUCAUGUUGUGGAAAUGACAAAAGUUAAAACAAUUCAUAAGAUCCCCAGGGAAAAACUAUAAAGCAGAAUUAGUUUCAUCACAUAAACUCAGGCACAUGUUACAACUCAUUAGAGAGCAUAUCUGAGAUUAAUUAACAAUAAUAGAUAGGAGAUUAUGAUAAGAUGACUCAUACUACAACACAAUACUCUCAGCAGCUAUAAUUGAAACGGCAUUUCCAUCCUUACCUUCAUAGCCGGAACUCCUUCAUCAUCUAACAGGAAAAAUGUAAAGGAUUCCAAUAGAUCUUAGAGCUAAUGUACUAUUUUUAUAGCGAGGAGUAUAUUAUCCUUAUGUAGGUAGGAAAAAAUACCAUUUAUUCAUCGAAACAAUACAUUACAAUUAUGACAAGAUAGAUAAAAUUUCAAAAGAUUAAUCAAUGCACCAUCUAUCCAAACAUUUAUUCAUCAAAAAAAUACAUUACAUGAUAGAUAAAACUUCAAAAGAUUAAUCAGAGCACUUACCUUGCGUUCAAAAUCAACAACUUUAGGAUCAAUUUCAUAGAGAGUGUUGGCUAAUUGUUUGUAAGAGUCUCUGAUUUCAUGUGUAUGAGCCACCCACAUUCCAUUAAGGAAACUCAAAGCAGGGCCACCAUUACUAUUUCUCUCCAUAACAGAAGACAAAUUUGAAAAUUUCGAAUUCAAAUCAUCAAUGUCCUGAACACCGAGAAAUCGAAGCAUCUGAUUCAAUGUAUCUCCCGUUGCUCCGGCAGCCGUCAUGUUCAGUACGGCGUGGAAAGACAGUGGAGAGAGCAAUAUGUUAGUAUUCGAAUUUUUAGUUUUUUUAAGCUCCUUUUGAAUCUCCUUUAGAAGGAUACGACUUGUGACCUGUGCACAAUGAUCAAUUUUCUCUUCUUUUCGUUUCGCCAUGGAUUUGUUGAUCUGUAGGGAAGAAAGUUGAAAGGUGUAUUAAAAACCCUAAUCCCUGCUGAUUUCGCUAUAAAUAGCAGUUAUUCUGAACAAAAUUCGCUGUUUUUUCUAACGUUGCUUCUUCAGCAAGUUUUUACCUUUUCUUCGAACUAAUUUUUUUUUAAAAGGAAAUAAGAAAUAUGUGUUAAAAGUUUCGCUUAUCUGCAUCAUUCUCUCAAAGGAAAAUCAUAUAUUAUUAAAAGUGAGAACAAAAAAAAAACUCUCUUACGCUUGGCAGCAGCUCCAGCGAAUUCAUCUGCUUAUCUGUCACCGUUCUCCGGUGAGGUCUACUAAGGCUUAUAGCUCAAAGAUGGGUGUUAAAGCAAGGAAGAAAACAAUAACGAAGAAAUUGAAAAAUGGAGCAAGCGAUUAAGUAAUGUAUCUCAAUUAAGGCUGGGCACCGGACCGGAAUGGGACCAUCGGACCGGAACGAACCGGUACCGGACCGGGUUGUUGACCGGUACCGGGAUGAACCGGACCGGAACUACCGGGAUGGAGGCUCAGUUCCGUCCUGUCCCAAUAUAUACCGGGAUAGAAUCGGGACGGACCGGAAUGGACCGGAACGGAACGGGAUGGGAUAAACGGGACGACACAUAUAGCUAUUUCAAAAAAUAAUUAUUUUUUGAGUUAUUUUGAAUUACGAAAAUACAAAUGUUUUUUAUUUUCUAAGUUAUAUUAGUUUAUAGUAUUUAAGUUCUAAAAUUUAUAAUAAUUUUACUUAAGUUUAUUUAAAGAUAUUAUUUUUAAUUUUACGUAUAAGUAGUUUGUAAGUUAAGUUUAAUUAAAGUUUUUUUUAGUUUUUGAGCUUAUGUAGUUAUGUUAUAAGUUUUAAAGAUUUGAAUCUUUUGAAGUUUAUAAGUUAUUAAGUUAUACUUAUAACUUGUAAGUUAAAUAACUUAAGUUUGUAAUUUUAAAAAAUUAAAUAAACAAAAAAGAAAUGCUAAUUAAAGUAAAUAAUGACAAAAAUAUUAUUUUUUAUUUUAAUUAAAAAUGAUUUAGCGGGACCGGACCGAUACCGGACCAGACCGAAACGGAACCGGAAUGAACUGGUACCGAUAUACCGGUACCAAAUCAUGAUACCGUUCCGUUCCGUGUACCGGUUCAAUGUAUCCCAUCCCGUCCCGAAUACUACCGGACCGGAAUGGUAUCGGAACGGAUCGGAAUGGUACCGGUACAACCCGUUCCGGUGCCCAGCCUUAAUCUCAAUCAAUUUUUUGGACUUUGAAAAAAAAAACUAAAAAAGUAGAAAAAUAAUAAUAUCUACUCUCAUUCUUUGAUUUAUUUUUAAUCUAUUUAAAAGUUAUCGUAUUUUAUAAGUGUGUCCAUUAAUAAAAAUAUGUAUAAGCAUAUAAAUUUACUCAAACAAAAUAGAAUAAAGUUAAGAAAUAGAACUUUACUAAUUUGAAACACCCGUAUUUUCUUUUCCCUUUUUUUUUUUUUGCAUGUAUUCGUAUUUUUCUUUAACGUUAUUAUGAAUAGAAUAUAUAUAGGUAUCUACUUAUUAGGAAUUAGAAUUUAUGUAGGAAUGAGUUUUUAGUAUUUGGGUUAUUUUAGGAUUGUUUUUUUUAGUUAGAUUUAAAAUAGUAGAUAAAAUUUUAUGGGAUUUAGGAUUAAUUUUAGAAAGAAAAAUCUAUUUUUUUCUUUUUUUUGCAUGCUACACUUUUUUUUAAUUAUUAUUAUUUUUUGGGCAAAGGGUCAAAAAUACCCCUCAACUUUGGUUUAUUGUUUGACUUUACCCUCGCCGUUAAAAUGAAGUUAAUUUUACCCCUUCCGUUACUAAUUUCACCAAAUUUACCCCUCAAUUGACGGAAAUCCCCAAAUUGACUCAAUUUAACCCAAAUUUUUAAAAAAGUCUCAUUCCCCAUUUUAAACCCAAUGCCCGACCCAUUUAUACCAAAUUAAAACCCCAAAUCAAGCUCCGGCAAUCCCCAUUCAUUUUCUCCAUUUUCUGGCGAAACACCACCAAAACAACCUCCAAACGAUCACCUGAAACCACCAUUCAAAACCCCUCCAUUCAUUUUCUCCGUUUUCCGGCGAAACACCACCAAAACAACCUCCAAACGACCACCUGAAACCACCACUCAAAACCCCCAAAAACCAGAAACGACAUCAAGUAGAAAACAUUAACAACAAACCCAUUUUCCUCUACUUUCCAUUGACGACAACAAGAUCUUUCUUCUCCAUUUCCGGCCAGUUUCAAGCUGGAACAACAUUAAGCAAAUUACCCACCGUCGGAAUCAUUCAAACAGCCGUGAAACUGACCUGAAACAACUCUCAAACACCACCCUCUCCACGCCAAAAUCCAGUGGUAAAACCACACUUCAGACCUCCAUCACCCAAGCUAAAACAACCAGCAAAUGACCACCAGACCACCAAUUCUCCGACCUCCAAACAACCAACCAACGACACCCCGAUCAAAACCCCAUCGGAAAACAACUGAAGCACCGCUAACAGAUCAAACCAACAACACAAUCAGGUGAGAAUCAAGGCUAAAAAACAACAGCCACAACUUCAUAUCCGGCUAGGCUCAACAAGCAAGCAAUAUCAUAGUUUCAGAUCUGCCUGCAGGAAAGCAAAAUUCGAUGAUUGAACGAGCUCCAAGCUCCGACCACACUAGUGUGCUAAAUCUCUCUAAUCUUCUUCAUAUACAUCCUCUAUUGAAUGUGGUCAUGGAGGAAACCCACUGUCAAACUUGGAUGGGAUUUUCAUUGUAGUCAAGGAUGACAUUGAUUGCUAUUUUCAUCCGGGUAUUUGUUUAACUUCAUAUUUCCUCCGUAAAUAUCUCUGUCAUUUUUAGCUGAACAUUUUUUCCUGUUAAAAAAUACAGGUGGUUCUAAAUGGUUUCAUGAGGUUUGCCAGGUGAAGGCAGAUGGGGUUUCUAUGUCAAAAUUACGAAAUAGUGGUGCAAUUUUAGUAGAAAGGACAAAUAUGCAUGAGUUUAACUAUAGAACAUUUGCUGUCAAUUUUAGUAGUAUGUGUUUCAAUGGAAGAAGGAGAUGGAGAAGAUUAGAGAGAUGGGUUUAGGGUUCUAAUUUGGUAUAAAUGGGUCGGGCAUUGGGUUAGGGUUCUAAUUUGGUAUAAAUGGGUCGGGCAUUGAGUUUAAAAUGGGGAAUGGGUCUUUUUUAAAUAUUUGGGUUAAAUUGAGUCAAUUUGGGGAUUUUCGUCAAUUGAGGGGUAAAUUUGGUGAAAUUAGUAACGGGAGGGGUAAAAUUAACUUCAUUUUAACGGCGAGGGUAAAGUCAAACAAUAAACCAAAGUUGAAUGGUAUUUUUGACCCUUUUCCCUUAUUUUUUUAUUCUGUUUCUCUCUCUUCUUAAAAAAAUUUAUAAUUAAUUUUUUUUUUCACGUUUUCCUUUUAACUUUCCCUUCUUUUUUAAUUACGUUUUCUCCCCUUUUUUUUUGUUUAACUUUUUAUCUUUUAUAAAAAAAAUUACGUCUGCUCCUUUUAUUUAUUUAUUUAUUUAUUUCUUCUAAUUUUUCGUUUCAUUUUUUUUUUUUACAAAUCUUUUUAUAAUGGUUAAAAUAAUUUUUAGGUAUAUACAUCACCAUCAUACAUAAUUUUAGGCUAAUGAAAAUUAUGAUUUAUAUACAUGGUUAAAAUAAUUUUUAGGUAUCUAUAGUAGAUGUCGAAUCCCUUCGGCUACUUCGUGUGUCUAUUUUUUCACAUUUUGAACCCCUUUAUUGAAAAUACUGGCUCUGGCUCUGGUCACCGAUGAAUUUGGCCUAUAAUUUAUAUGAGUUAUUUUCAUUAAAAAAAACAAUUGGGAGUAAAUUGAAAAAGAAAUAACUAAUAAAAGUGGAAACAGGGUUUUGAGUAUAUCCAGAUUCAAAUACAACUUCUUAUAUUUGAAGUUGCCAUCCAAAUACUGGUUUUUAAAUAAAGUAACAAUUUUUUUUGAAAUAAAUAAAUAAAUAAUUUUCAUGUUCAAACGGCUCCUAAAUCUCACCAAGUCCUACAAAACUAAGAAAAGAUUACUAAAAAAGAUGUGUGUCCCCAACAAAGAUAUAUAGAGGAACUUUUUUCAUGUCAUUAGCAUUUUUUUGUAUGUAUUUUCAAUAAUUAAAUGAUGGGUUUUUUUAUUACUAUUUUUAUGUUUAAACAGUGGUGAUCAUGAUUAUAUGGAACCUUUUCAAUCCACACAAGCAUGGAUAGUCUCUAAAUUACUCUAUUGUUGAUGAUUGGCGUCAAUGGAACACAAAUAAUCAAGUUGCUGGGUAAUUAAUCUCCAAAUUUAACAUCCUUAAUUACAAUUAUUAAUUAUUAAUUUAAACUAAUCAUUAUGUGAGUUGAUAAUGCUUAAUCAUUUUUCUAAUAUUGUAUCCUUGUAGUUAUACGAGAUCUUACUCCAACAAAAUGACUUAUGCAACAUUGAAGGUAUGGAAUUAAUUGUAGAAAUAAGUUUCAUGAAAAAUGAAAAAUAAUUAAUUUGUCUCAAUUUAGUAAGAUUGGUUUUAUUUUAUAUUUGUAUUUUACUUUGCAUUUUAUUUAUUUUUCUUUAAUAGGGAUCCGGACACACAGCUUGUACGGAUAAACCUGAAGAAUGUUUUGCUAUGUUCAAAAGAUGGAUAAGUCACAAUCCUCUAUAAUGUUAUCAUUCUUUACAGAAGACAUCCAAUCUUUUAUGUUCCACAUUUCAUUGUUCAAAAAGAUGGAUAAGUCACAAUCCUCUAUAAUGUUAUUAUUCUUUACGAAAGACAUCCAAUCUUUUAUGUUCCACAUUUCAUUUUUCAUAUUAGAAGAGCAAUAAAUAGAAAUUGCAAGGUUCAAAAGAUUCUUCAACCCCCCCCCCUUUUCUUUUUGCUCUCUUGCCGAUACGAAUUCACAACCUUCGAAUUAGAAGUAAGAGGUGCUUACCAUACUAAUAACUCCCUUUUGUCCACAAUUACAGACAGUUUAGUUUUAAGAAAUUAGUGGAUUUAAUUACUACAUGUGACAAAUCAUAAUAGCCAUGCAAUUAUUUUAAAUUGCAAAAAGUUAUCAGGUUUUGGCUGUUAAUUUGAGAAGUAGUGUUGAGCCAAAAAUAGAUGGGAAUACUUUUGCCCCUUUUCCGUAGUUAAAAUAUAUCAAACCUUUUUUAAAAGAAAAAGUGGCACAAAAAAUUGAAGAAAAGGUGUAUAACUCAUAGGUAAGGCAUGAAAACAUUUUAUAAAUGCAAGUUAACAUCACUAGAUACAUAGUUUUAAGUUUAUGAUUCUGAAUUUCAAAACAAAAUAACAAUUGGUUGGGAUAAUUUUUCAUACAUAUUAAGUAAAAAAUUUCUUAACAAAAACACACAAAUACACUGGAUUCUGCAAACCUCGUAACUUCAACAUAAGAUCCACCUCUGAUAAUCAUCUAGAUCUUUUCAACCAGAAGUCCAUGCAAGUCUUGAAUGAAGUUAUCAAUGUAGUUACUCAUGAAGCCAGGACUCGAAAGAAGUUCCUUCCAUUUCCUAUGAUUCUCUUUCACUAAACAACCAAUUUGGCUAUCUUUAUCCAUCACACAUUUCACAGCCUUGCACAAAUUCUCCUUUGUAAACAAAUCAUUUUCAUCCUUCUCCACUUCUACACCAACCUUAAGGUGUUGUUCCAUAAGCCUAGCAGUAAAAAUGUGAUCAAUAGGCCUUGGCAAAAGUACCAAUUGACAAUCACACAUCACCAAAGACUCCCACAUUGACCCAUAACCACAGUGAGUGACGAAACAACCAACUGAUUUGUGUCUUAAAAUCUCCAAUUGUGGCACCCAACAAUCAAGAAUCAAUCCCUUUUCUUGAACCCUUUGUUUGAAUCCCUCUGGCAAGGCUUCUUCUACUGAAUUUGUCCCUUGAGGUGGCUUAACAACUAAAAGAAAUGGUAACUCAGUCAAUUCAAGGCCUAAAACAAGUUGUUGAAACUGUUUCUUUUCAAGAAUCAAUUGGCUCCCAAAUGCACAGAACACUACUGAUCCUGGUUCGAAUUUCUCGAGCCAAUUUGAUAAUUCAUGUUGCUCCUUUUUGGGGUCGGGAAUUACAGGUCCAGCGUAAAGGACUGGCUUUUCAAGUAGUGUUGCUACGUAGUCACAAAAGAUUCCUUCAAUCUCUCUACAUGUUUUCACAGCUAUUACAUCGCAUUGUGUAAAUCCCUUGCUCAAUCGUUCUUGAAACGUCACACCCUUGCCAUAUUCAUGAAAUAGAAAUGAUAACAACUUAGCUUCACUUUCACGCAACACCACAGUAGUAGAAGGGUAACCUGGAGGGAGAUAGAUACCACAUCUUUAGAGAGCAGAAUGAAAUUGCAAAUUUACUAUUAUAAUGCAUAUAUUUGAAAAUUUAUAAUCACAAACAUUUAUUUAUAGAAGUAAACACGGAAUCCAGGAAGAAGGGUGACCUGGUGGUGGCUUUACUAGCUCAGCAGCAGUUGAUGUCAUAAAAGUAGCCUUAUCCGGUGAUAUAGACAUUGCAGCAGGGGAAACAAGUAGGUAAAACAGAGUCUUGAUACCCCCAAUUUCUCGUGCUAUAUCAGGAAUCCAAUAAGCAAAAUCAAAGAAAACGAAAUGGGGUUUUAGAUUUUGAAGAAAAGAUUUGAUUUCAUCAUACAAUUCAUCAAAAGCUGUUGCUAAUAGACUCUCCAAAGAUCUAUGAACAUCAGCUGUAGUCUCUGCUCCAUAUGGAAGGCCAUCAACAUGAGGUAUUGUCAGUUUAUGGAAUUUGAUGAGAUUUGGGUAAAGAUUGAGUUUUUGAAGUCUAAUUUCUGCAUUUCUGGGCAACAAAAAUGAGAUUUUGUGACCUCUUUUUGCAAGUUCAUUUGACAGAUUCAUAUAUGGGAUCAAAUGCCCUAAAGCAAGCCAUGGAAACAUCACUAUUUCCAGCUUUGACUCUCCCAUCCUUAGAUGAAUUGCUACCUCUUGAGAUAAAUUCAUAAACUUCAAUCAAAUAUAGUAUAAUUUUAAUUUUAAACUUAAUUCUGAAAUAUUCUAUCUUGUAUCUGGCAUAUUAAUAAUAAUUGAUGACAAAGUGGUAGUUGUCUAGUCUUUUCCAGAGUUUUAAAAAAUAUUAAACGAGAGUAGUGUGGUUAUAUUUUUUUUUAAAAAGUCUGAUGGACCAUGUACUUAUACGAGUUUGUAUUAUAGACCCUUCUACUUAAUUCUUUAUCAAUUGAACCCUUAAAUUAGGUAAAACACCAUAUAUUGAACACUUCUGACCGUUGAUUAAGCUUAUGUGGCAUUAAGAUGGCUGAAUUGGUAAGAGUGUGUGACUACACGCCUGCUUGAGUGAUAUCAUAUUUAAAUUUUAAAAAAUUAAAAUUAUAAAAUAAUAAAUUGAAAAAAGAAAUUAAAAAAUAAGAAAUCGUCUUCUUCAUUGUUGAGUCUUUUAUCAACCGUGUGGAGUUAAAAUAUUAUUUUAUUUAAUUAAAAAUGGUGAGUUAAAAGAUUGUUUAACCUAUUUAUUUAAUAUUUUUAAUUAUUUAAAAAAAAAAUAGUUAAUGAAUAUAAUUGUGACAUGUUAUUCAUUUAAAUGACGUGGAUUUGACAUGCCAUCUAUUUAAGAGAGAGUCAACUACACACAUGGUAGGAGGGGUUUAAAAAUCUUCUUUUGAUUGAGUUUAAGAGCUCAAUUGGUAAAGAGUUAAGUAGAAGGGUCCAUAAAUCAAACUAGUACGAGUAUAAUGGUCCAUUAGAUCAUUUCUCCAUUAUUAUUAGUGAAUUUUGUCAACCCCAUAACUUCAACAAUCGAUUCACAUAUGCUAAUUAUGUAAGUAUUUUCAACUAGAAGUCCAUGCAAGUUGUGAAUGAAGUUCUCAAUAUAUUUACUCAUGAACCCCGCACUCGAAAGAAGUUCCUUCCACUUCCUAUGAUUUUCCUUCGCUAAAUAUGUGUCUAAAGUUAGAUGAUAAAGAAAAAUAUAUUUAAAAAUAGGGAAAAAUGUCUGAAAAAUACUUCAACUUUGACCGAAAUUGCUGUCACGAUACCAAACUUUAUGGAGGAUCUUUUACCCCCUGCACUAUUUAAUAGUGUAUUUUAAAGGUAUAUAGAUGAUUAUUUUUUUAAUAGAAUUAUAAAUUAUAACAAAAUUAACUGCAACAAAUUCAACCGUAAACAAGUAAUAUAUUAAUGAAUUUUUAAGUACGUAAUUUCUAAAAUUUGUUAUUAUAAAUAAAACUAAAAUCAUAUUUAUUUAAUUAUUAAUUAAUUAUUUCAGUGGCUCUUCUGUCGUUGUCAUUGUUUAUUUGAUCUUGAUAUUGCUCGAAUUUUAAGAAAAUUAAACUUUUGAAAAAAUAAUUAUAGACUUAAAUAAAAUAUAUGCUCACUUUAUUUAUUUUAUAUUCUAUAUGACUGUGUAAUUAAUUAAGUAGGUAUGUUGGAAUUGAUAAAGAUGAGGAGGUGCAACUACUCUUUUGGUUAUUGUUGCUCUUCUGUCAUUAUUAUGAGAAAAUAGACAAAUGCCCCCAAUUAUUAGUCAAUUUUCAAUUAUACACUUAUAUUUUAUGGGGUCCUAUUAUUUCUCUAAAUUUUUUAUUCUCAAUAAUUUACGAUCCUUAAACGCUGACAUGUCCAAGAAGGUGAAUACGGCAUGUAAGGGUUCAACAAAAAGACAAUGAUUAAAAUUGAAUUUAAUAGUCCAUGUGGCAGUCUCUCAUUGGAGAUUAUAUAAUUAAUUUUUUUUUAUUCUUUCCUUUUCUUAUAUCACAAAAUUGUUAUAUCCACUUCAUGAUUUCUUCAAGUUUUUCUCAAAGUCCUUCAAUGGUGGUCUUCUAAAUUUCGUCUCAAAGAGCUCCAAAUCAAUUUGUAGCUACUGAUUUAUGCUUAGUUAAUCAUAUAUCAAUCGUUUUUAGCAACAACAAUCACCUAACUCAUAAGGAACUUUCAUAUAUGUAGCUCAAAAAUGGAGUUCAAGUUUUUUUCUCUAAACCCCUCAUAAUUUCAGCAAAAAAAAAAAUAAUAAUAAAAAGAAGUCAAACCACAAUGAACCAACAAUGGUGAAUUUGAAAUUUCACUUUCUUAUUUCAUUCUUACCAAAUUUGUUUUUUCACUCCCAUAUUUGUGAAUACUUAUUGUGGAUUUUAUUUUUUUGAGUUCGAUUUCAAAUUGAUAGUGUAUGUGGACUAGGUGUGGAGUUGUUCUUCUUCUUUAAUUUGGUGUAGAGAUUUUUUCCUCAUUUUCUCUUAUUAUUCUCUAAAGAAAUCAUUAGUAUUUUGGAAAAAUAAUCUCUAUUUGAAAGCAUUUUUUGUAAAUUUUAAUUUUCAGAUUUGAUAAAAAUGAAAACUUUACACAAUUUUACAGAUGAUUAUUAAAUUAUUAUUUUGAUUAGGUUUAUAAUUUACAGGGGGGGAAAAUGACGGUAAAGUGAUUCAUAGCGUGUGCUGCACAUCUUUGACAUAAAACUGGUUAUGACUUUUUAGGGAGGUGAUUAUUCCAUAUUUAUAUAGUUUAGGGGGGUAAUAGAAACCCGUAUAGAAUAAGUGUGUAGUUGAGAAUUGGCUAAUAGGUUGAGGGGGCUUUUGACUAUUUUCUCUCAUUAUUAUUGUUUAUUUGAUCUUGAUCUUGUUCUAAUUUUAAAUUAAUAAAAACUUAUAUAUUUUAAUAAAAUAUAUAUACUCACUUCAUUCAUUUGUGAAAAUCUAUAAUUUUUUAUUAAAAGUGAAAAUUUAUUUGUGAAAUAGUAGACAAGUAAAACUAAAUAAAAAGAUGUUAUAAAUCUAUUGCAUUGUGUGGAUUAUCCAUUAGAUUUAUCCAAGAAUUAAUUGGAUUCAUGGAUGGGUGCUUCCAAGGUGAUAAGAACCUUAAGGGAUAACUAUGUAUCUACUACUUUGGUGACCUUUGGGAGUGAUAUCUCAACACUAUAAAUAGAGAUAUCAUUCACCAUUUGGAACACACUUGAAUAAGAAGAAAAGUUAUCUCUUCUAUCUACAUUUCUUGCCUUCUUCUCUUUAUACUUAUCUUAUUCUGAGCUUGAUUUUAUAACACGUUAUCAACACAAAUUGUUUCUAGUUUCAAUUUUGUUCACCACAUCAUCCAAGUUGAGUUUUAUACCAAUAAUUUGAUGGUGAUGAUGAAAAGAAGGAGUAAAUAGUUAUUGAUCAAAUUGAUCCAACAAAACAAAGAAAAAGAAAAUCAACAAAUAUGAUGUUAAUUCGUAUAGUAAAUCUGGACAUAUGCUAUAUAUGUUGCUUUAUUAAGAUGCUAGAGUACAGAGGUAAGUUUUAUUUACAUAUUAAGUUUUACUUUAUUUAAUAAGUUGAUUUAAGUUUGCAGAUGAAUCAGCGAUAAGGAAAUUCGCUAUGCAAGAUUAGAUACAUGUACACCUAUACUCAUGUGGCAAAUGGUAGAGGGGGACGAACUUGUGACAUACACGAAUAAUGUUAUUUCAUGUCUUAUCGAAAUUUAGUUCACUUAUUUAUAUAGAACAAGAAAAUGAUAGUAUUUUUAAAAGCUCUUGUGUUAGUUCUAUUUAUUUUGGUUUAUAUGUCAUUAGUUGAAGGGUAAGACAAUGAAUUCAAGUUUCAUCGCACCAAAGGGGGUAAGACAUCGAUUUAAAUUUGGGUGCACCAUGAUGAUAAAAUAUUGGGUUCGAAUCCCAUAAAAUUAUGGCCUAACACGCCUCAUAUGGAUAAGACAUUGAGUUUGUGUCUCAAUGCACCAUAAUGAUGAUAAAAUCAUGACUAAGACAAAAAUAGAAUAUUUUUAAUGAAAAGUCUUGAAAUUCGGUCCAUUGAAUUUGCUCCAUUCCUUGAAAAGAAUGUGGUAGCAACAUAUGAUAACUUUGAAAUCCGACUGUUGACUUGCUCCAUUCUAUCGUAUGAAUGUGGUAGCAAUGAAUAAUUAGUCUGAAAGAUGACAAAUGAUUAAUGAGAUGAAUAAGGGCGUGGAGGGACGGAAUUAUAAUAGUCAUCAUUGUGGUAAUUAUAAAAGGAAGAACAGUAUGGGUUCUCCAAGUGGUCCUUCAAAAUGUGAAGGUAAUUUUUAUCUUCAAAAUGGUAUGAAAGGUCAUUGAACUUGUGAUUGUUGUCGACCUAAUAAUGUGAUAAGUUUAUAAAUCCUCCAUCAAAAGAAAGAAUAUAAAGUGAUGGUGCACUUUAUCUUUCAAAGUGAUGUUAAUGUGGGUCAUGUAAAUAUGUCAAAUAUAAAGAUAUGACAUGUAUAAGUGGUUAUGGUCAACUCAUGAAGAGAUUGUGACUUGUGAUAAGAAUCAUUAAUGCUCGAUUAUUUUGAAAGUGAAUGAGUCAAGGUAUAAUAAAAAUAUUAUGAUUUGGAUAUAUGUCACAACUCACCUCUACGAGAGGUUUGAGAGAAACAAAUAAAUUUUUAUUUGGCAAAAAUGGUCAUUGAUCGUGUACGUUUAUACGUCAUAAAUACUAUGGUAUGUUUAUUAUGAACUACCGAAAGGAGAAAAAGAAAGAAGUGUUGGGUAUGUAGCAAGAGUAAUGGGAAAUGGAGGGAAGAUGAAAAGAGAGGAACUUGAAAAGUUGGGAAGUUGAAGAGUUGAGAACUUGAAAAGUCCUCUUACGCUUUAUUGAAAAGGCAUUUGUCCCUCAUCGUUGGUGGAAAGAAAAAUAGGAGAGUUUAAAUAUAGAAACACUCCUAUUUGAAAGGUUGCAAACUUUCAUGAAUGGUCGUGUGGAUUCUGAAAGGAUUGCAACCUUUCGGAACCAGUUCCUCUUGCCUAUAAAUACAUUGAUUCCUCAGACUUAUUCCUUACGAAUUUUCUGAUUUCUUCUUCUUCUUCUGCACAAAAUUUCUUCGUGUACUUUACUGAUGUUGAGUGGUUCGCUGACACCAGAGUUUUGGGUAUCAAUACACUAGUGAUUGAGAUCAUUCUAUCCUGAGAGGACAUAUUCCAAAUCAAACCUCGUAUACUAUAGGGGAAUAAUUUCUUUAAGGGGACACUGUGCAUUCAAUGGGCUUGAUCUUUUUUCUGAUUCUAUUUUUCCAGAUUGUGGUACGUUUUUACAGAUUUUAGUUUUGUCAAUUAAUUUAUGUUCAUCUAUUCUUACUGGUUUAUUAAACUUUGGUUACUUCGUGUUUCUGCAAAGUUUAUUAAAAUCAGUAAUUCUGAUUUUUUUAAACACAGAUUGCUAACAAGAAGUAAUUCUUGCCUAUAAAGGUUGUGGCCAUGACCAAAAUAAUAUUAUUGUAUGACAAUACAAAUUUGUCAUUGAUUGUGUACCUAUGGUACAACAAAAGUAAAGCAAGAAAAAUAUCUUGCUCGUAAUAAUUUUGACCAUGACAAUAGUAAUAUAAGUUUCUCCUUGAAGGAGAUGUUCACCAUAUGGAUGGUGUCAUGGAAUAUGUGAUAAUACACAAAAUUAAUUGCAAGCUCUAAUGAGUUGUAUUAUUACCAGAGGAAUAAUAUUGGGGUUGUAGUAAGUCUCAAAAGAAACUUUUUAAGUUUCGGAUGAAUUGAAAAGAAAUAUUGAAACUAUAAAUUAUGAAAAAAAUUAAUAUCUUUAGAUUACUAUAAUCAAAGAGGGUUAUAAAUAUUUAUAUAAAAGAUUACCCUUUUUUUUUCUCUUGUUUGUUGCACACAAACAUGGACAUGCACUGUCGUGUAUAUGUUGGUAUAUUUUAUAUAGGUUUUAAAGGUGCAGGUGGUGUGUAGUUGAGGGGAAAGUGGGUAAGUGGGGUCAUUAGAGAGGAAAGUGGGGUAGGUUAUUAUUAUUAUUUUUUAAUAUAAUAUAAUAUAAUAUUACCCUUUUUUUAAAAAACUAAUCAAAAAUUAAGUAGCUAAUAAUAAUAUAAUAAACUAUAAUUAAGAGACACUAAUUUAUUUAUUAAAAUUUAAAUUAACAGAAAAUAUCUAUAUAUUUUUUGUAAGUUUUCAUUCCAUUUUUUUUAAUAAUUGAAACAAAACAUACCUUAAAGUGUGACUCUAUUUUUGUAGUUUUCAAAUCUUUUAAAAUAAACUUAAUAAAAUACGAUAAAAAUAAAGUAUCUAAUUUAGAUUUAAAAGAAAUAUUUAAGGAAUAAAAAUGGUGUAAAACUUUUGGUUUGAUAAAAAAUUAGGUGUUCACAAGAUCAUCAUAUUCUUUUCUUUUAUUUCAUCAACUAUUCUCUUUUCUUCUUCCUAGAUAAUGAUAUAGAUACAUGUCGUCAAGAAGCUAAUUGAGGUGAAGAAUUGAUAGCUUCAUUCUGAAAUUAAAAAGAGAAGUUUUCUUACAAUAAUAUAGUUCAAGUGUUAAGCGAAAAAGUAUAAGAUAUGACCUAUAUAUUUCUUUAAAUCUUUUUUAUGUUAGUUUAUGAUUUUAAGUUUUUCUUUUCCAUUUUGGAGUUAAGGUAUGGUUGUCGGAAAUUUUUUUAUGCAACCCAUAUUUUUAUGUAAUUCUGUAUCAUUUUGCAUUGUUAUGAAAAGAAAUUUCUUUGUUUUUGUGUUAUUAUUCUUUUAAGUGCUACUUAAUUGACAAAACUUCUAUUAAUAGAGUUUGAUAAUACUUGAAUAGUUUAUGCAAUAUGCUUUUGUUUAAAUACAAGUAAUUUAAAUAAAGAUUAUGUUACUUUAUCGUCUAUCUAACCUAGAGUUGCGAACACAUAUAUAUAUGGUUCAUUUUCACCCAUUUUGUUUCAUGUUUUAUUUUUCUACAAUUUAUACGAUAUGAGAUUUAACAAUUUAAUUUUCAAAUAAAAAUGAGAAGUUACAUUUACAUUUAUGCGAUACUAAGCCUAAUAGUUUUCUUGCAUUCCAUAUUAACUUUGAUGUCUCACUUGUUUAGAUACGACGAGAUAAUCAUCAAAGUUCGGGAAUCUCAACGGGAAUACCUCACUGCACCGGUACCGGUUAUGAGCCACAUUCAGCGAAGAGUUUCUGGUCUUUGUCCCCUUAAUGCAUUAUAAAUUGCAAGGAAAAAUUUAAAAAAAAGUGGAAUUCUAUAAGUUUAGCUAAGACGAUUUCGGAAUGUAGCUUUCCGUAGUGUUAAAAUUCAAAUGAUUGGUAUAAUGACAAUUUUGCUUUGGUACAUUUUGGUUAUUUCUUUAUGAAUUCCUUGGACCCUUCAUUAUUACUACUAAAAACUAUUCCUCAAAUUGAAAUCAUGUAAAUUAAAAAUAGGGAAAAGGGUCAAAAAUACCCCUCAACUUUGGUUUAUUGUUUGACUUUACCCUCGCCGUUAAAAUGAAGUUAAUUUUACCCCUCCCGUUACUAAUUUCACCAAAUAUACCCCUCAUUAGACGGAAUCCCCAAAAUUGACCCGAAUUUUAAAAAAAAACCUUAUUCCCUAUUUUGACCCAAUGACCCGACUCCAUUUAGAAUAACCCUAUUUUACCCAUUAUCCCAAAUUUCCUUUACCCAUUUACCCAUUUUCUCUUUGAAUAGAUAAUCUCAUUUUCUUCCAAAUUUUCCAUUGUUCUUCCUGCAUCUAUCUUUCGUUCACUUCUGAUUUUUUCUUCUUAGAAAAUGUCACAAAAUAGUUAUUCGUCUAAUAAAAAAUGUGCUUGAGCUAAUUUACGAAUUUCUAAUAUUUAACAUUAUUUUCCCAUUAAUUAAAAAAAAGUGCUUAUUAAACAUAAAACGUAGAGAAGCCGCCGUUUAGCUUCACUACAAAACCUUCUUCCCUUUUGCUCUUCUCCAUUAGCUCCGCCGCCGAGAUCCUCUGCACUACACUUUCUAUGGGGAGAAAACGGAACUUGAGCGAAGAUGGUGGUAGGGAAGACGAAGAAGAGAAGCCGAUGAAAGAUAGAAGGGUGAAAGAGAAGCAGGAGGGAAGAGAAAGCAUGCGGCCUUCAAUGAUUAAGAACAAGGAGAAAAGAGCAGUUGUACAUGCUAAGUUGAAGCAACAGAAAAAGGUUGAGAAGCGGAAGAAGGUUAAAGCUCGUGAAGCUGCUGAGAAAAAAAAGCACUUGUGCUAGGGGAGGAGGUAAAGCCUCUGCUGAAAUUUACAGAUUUUAUGGAUUUGGGGUUUAGGGUUUUUACGGUAAAUGGGUAAAUGAAAUUUGGGAUAAUGGGUAAAAUAGGGUUAAUCGGGUUAUUCUAAAUGGGGUCGGGUCAUUGGGUCAAAAUAGGGAAUAAUAUUAUUAUUUUUUUAAAUCGGGUCAAUUUUGGGGAUUCCGUCUAAUGAGGGGUAUAUUUGGUGAAAUUAGUAACGGGAGGGGUAAAAUUAACUUCAUUUUAACGGCGAGGGUAAAGUCAAACAAUAAACCAAAGUUAAGGGGUAUUUUUGACCCUUUGCCCUUAAAAAUAUUAUGAGAAUGGAGUUAUUAGGUUUCAUUUUGUUUAGAUUUUAGUAAUAUAAGUCAGCAAGAUCAUUCUGUUAAAAGUGGAAAGAGUCUUUAAGUCAAAAAUUGAAUUACUAAAGUGUCUUUUAAAAGUAUAUUUAUCAUUUUUUUAAUAAAAAUUAAUUGUCUAUUAAAUUUAAUUGGAAAGACCUUUCAUCUACCUUUAGACAUGUACAAAUUCGAUAUGAACUUUUUAUUUACAAGUUUAAUAUGUGUCAUGCAUUUAUUUUCUUCACUUUUAGCUUCCAACCGUUUUAACAUGUCAUAUUCUUUAUUAAAUUAUAUAUACCUUAUUCAAUAUUUAAUUGAUGCAUAUUAAAUAUUCAAUAUAUAUAUACACAUACACACCUUAGGUAAAAUUACUUUUAAUCAAAUUCACAAAAAAAUAAUUAAAAAUACAUAUGACACUAAAAACAUAAUUACACAAAAGGUAUUUUUAGUUGGUUACACACCUUAGGUAAAAUUACUUUUAAUCAAAUUCACAAAAAAAAAAUUAAAAUACAUAUGACACUAAAAACAUAAUUACACAAAAGGUAUUUUUAGUUGGUUGGGAGUUAAUUAUAUAAACAUAUUUUCUAUUUCUCAACUCCUUUCGGCUUGAGUGUUGAUAUUUAAAAAUGUUGUUUUUGCCAAAUCAAUAGGUAAAGAAGAGAUUGUAUAUUAUACCAAAAGAAACAAGAUCCAGUAACUUUGUUAAUUAAAGGCGAAAUUAGAAAUCAAAGUAAUAAAACCAAGGAUUUCUUUGAGAAAUAUUUCUUCCUUUUAGAGAGCUCACCAUGAAGGAUUAAAUUAUCACUUUAAAAAUUUGCACUUCUUCUUUAGUACUUCCUCCAUCUCAUUUUAUGUGGCACUUUUCGGAUUUCAAGAUUCAAACAAGUCUAUUCUUAACCGGUAAUUUUUCAUAGAUCUUUUAAAUAUUUUGAAUUAUCAAUUAUUGUGACUUAUAGUACUUUUUACAUAGCUUACAAAUAUAUAAAUUUCAUUUCAAAAAAAUUGAAGAUUUCAUGUGCAAAUUCCCGGUCAAACUUAAACUGUUUGAUUCUCGAAAAACGAAAAGUGUCACAUAAAUUAGGACAAAUGGAGUAUAUAAUUUAUAACUCAAACAUGUUUCCUAAUACUAAUAUUUAUGUAAUUUUUUAAAAUUUUGUGGUUAAUAAAAUUGGAUUACACACGCAAGGCGCUUGCCCAGACCUAGUAGUAUUAAACGAACCAAACUUUUAAUCGAGAACAUAAAUGCUGAAGUCUUUUCCCAGAAUGGCGCAACACUUUAUUCUCUUCUAUGUUCUUUGUUUACCUCUAAGCUUCUCGAACAAAUUGCCGUAUUGAAUCAAAGUCGGUGUCAAAUUCUACAUUUAAAGAAUAUAUAGUUAAAAUUGGACACCACUGACAAAACACUAUGUUGUUGGUUUUGUGGUAACGAGUGUCCAUUUGAUUGAUAAGUCAACCCCUUCUUCUUUGCAAGCAAAAAUGGAUCUCCAGGAGUCGAUCACCAAUCAGACGGACGUUUCUUUCAUGCUUGCUAAGCACAUUUUCUCAAAAGAGGUUAAUGGCGAUACCAAUCUGGUGCUCUCUCCUCUCUCAAUUCAAAUAGCACUUGGCCUCAUUGCUGCUGGCUCUAAUGGACCAACUCAAGAUCAGCUGCUCUGUUUUCUCAAGUCAAUAUCAAUUAAUGAACUCAACUCUCUUUAUUCUUAUCUUGUCGACACCGUCUUUGUUGAUGGAAGCCCCAAUGGAGGUCCGUGUUUGUCCAUUGCUAAUGGUGUUUGGAUCGACCAAUCACUUCCUUUCAAGCAUUCUUUCAAACACGUUGUGGAUAAUGUUUACAAGGCCGCUUCUGAGUAUGUUGAUUUUCAGAACAAGGUAUUCCUCUGUUCAUUUUGUUUAACUGAAAUAAGGAAAAAAUAUUUAUAUAUAAUUUAGAUAAUGCGAUAUGGAGCGGAGGUGUGUUGGAGGACGUAAGUUUUGAGCCUAACUCGCACCCGAAAAGCUAGUUCAAAGAAAGGAGAUGUACCGUGGUACUGUCCUGUUUCAUGAGGGACCACAUCAGGUCUAUUCAUGAUAUACCAUGUCUAAUUAAGCUUUAGGCCUGACUCGGAUCUUAAAAACUACGUCAAAGAAAGGAGGAUUGUUCAAGCCCUUAUAUUGAGUCUAGUAUUCCAUUCAUUCAUCAGAAAUCAUUUUUUUUAUUUUAAGGAACUUGUCCAAAUCAACAAUACAUGGGAAAAUUUGAAUAAAGUUUUCCUCCAUACCGAACACACCCGUAAAUCCUCCAUUCUCCAAAUAUUAUCAUAUGAAAUAGACAUUGAUGAACAAUAUUACCAACCACUAACUCGUUUAAGAGUGAGAUACAAAUGAUUGAUUGAAGGAUCAAUAUAACUUUGAAAGAGUACAAAGCACACAAUUAGGACACAACUUAUGUUGAUUAGCCUUCUCAACGGCUCUAGCCUCAAGUAGUAUAAUCUUCCUUUGUUGGCUUAAAUCAGCAAAAAUCUCACAUACUCUUGGUUAAUACUGUCAUCAAUUAUUUUUUAACCAUAAUCUUCCUUUGUUAGCUUUACUGUAGGGUAAAACAUAUACAGUGUGCUGAUUUUAUCAUUCUGUGUUUGUCUUACUAAUUGGUUAAGCCUGCUGAGGUUGCCAAUCAAGUGAAUCAGUGGGCUAAAAUGAAGACAAAUGAUCUCAUCAAAGAGAUUCUUCCUCCAGACGCGGUGGAUGACAUGACGAGGCUCAUCUUUGCCAAUGCACUAUAUUUUAAAGGAGAAUGGAAUGAGAAGUUCUAUGCUUUCGAAACAAAAAACCACGAAUUCCAUCUCCUCAAUGAAGGGUCUGUUCGAGCACCCUUCAUGACUAGCCAGAAGGAGCAGUACAUAACAGCCUUUGAUGGCUUUAAAAUGUUGAGGCUUCCUUAUAAACAGGGCAUGGACACUCGUCGCUUCUGUAUGUAUUUCAUUCUGCCUGAUGCCCGUGAUGGAUUACCUGCUUUACUGGACAAAAUCAGUUCAGAACCUGGAUUUUUAAACCGGCAUUUCCCAUAUGAAAAAGUUAAAGCACGCAAAUUUCUCAUCCCUAAAUUCAAAAUAACUUUCGGGUUUGAAGCUACUAAAGUUCUAUGGGGGCUUGGCCUCGAAUCACCUUUCUCUCCGGGUGGUCUCACUGAGAUGGUUGAUUCCCAUAUAUCUAAGAAACUGUUUGUUUCAGAUGUUUAUCACAAGUCCUUCAUUGAGGUAAAUGAGGAAGGAACUGAAGCUGCAGCUGUUACCGCUGUCAUAGUAAUGUUGCAGUCUAAAUGCGUGAGCAUUGAGAAGGAAAUUGACUUUGUCGCGGACCAUCCAUUCUUGUUCCUUGUAAGAGAAGAAUCUACUGGUGCGAUGUUGUUCCUAGGGAGCGUGAUGAAUCCUCUUGCUGGUUAGCCCACACGGAAAGCCACAAAAAUUGAGUAAUUGUAAGGAACAAAAAUUGAUACUUACGACAAAGUUGAGUGGCUUUAUAUUUCAGAAUUACAAGUUUUCUGAUAUAUGUUUGUAACUAUGUUGAUGUACUUUAAUGAUGAGACCUUGUUACCUUAAUCUCUGGGAUCUUACAUAAUUGACUUUGGUUGAUGCUUAACUGUACAGACCGAGUGUUUACAUCAAAUCAAUGUUUGUACAUACACUAAUCUUACUUAAUCAUGGUUAAUUAGUGAACAUUUUUACUUUAUUAAAUCACUUAACCAUAGUAAGUUGAAUCGAUUUGGUGUAAAUACCCAGUGCGGUGAGUAUCAAAACGGCUUUUAUAGGGAAAACAGAAAAUAGCUGACGACUUUGAUUCAUCAGUUUCACCAAACUCUGAGAUACUUCAAUGUUAGUUAAAACGUUUCUGUCUUUAACACUUCAUCUUAAAUUAUCUUUUUAUAUGUAUACUGCAGUCAACUUUUGAUAUUUAUUGUUUAAAAAUUGAUCAAGUUGAGCUUGAUUCUUGAAUAUUCCAGUGGACCUUCAAGAGUUUAUGCCUUUGAUAGAUGACAAAGCCGGCAAUGCAUAGUGUUAACUAUCAACAAAUUUCUCCUUUUUACAAUUUUUAUCUUCUUCUUAUACUUUCUUGGGUUCAAAUCUACUGUGUAACACUACUAAAAAACAUAAAAACUAUGAAAAUAUUUCAUUAAAGAGCAUGUGUGGUCGAGUGGUGGAAUUGUCCAAAGUCAUAGAAAAUAUCUGAAUUCAAUUCCAAGUAGCUAAGCAACAUAGGCAAAGCCGAUGAUUUGGCGUCGAUUUUCCUUAAAAAACCAACGGUCAAAUUAUUUUAAGUAUAUAUACGUUGCCAUCUAUGUAUCUCUAGCAUUAUAAUGUUAGUCUUUGUCCUAAAGUGAGUGUCAAAAUGCUAAGUUACAAUUCAGCAUCAGAGUCCAGUUGACCUACUAAUUUGCUUACACUGACUUUAAUCCUUUUCAAAUCAAUUCUAAUAGGGGAUUAACAAUGUUAACAUAAUCAUGUUUGAGGUUUUAACGGUAGAAAAAAACAAAUUUGGACCAAAUGUUAAUCUGAUACUUAUUGUCCCUUUACUCAGAUUAAGAUACCAUUUGACCAAAUGAGAAUAGAAAUGUCUAUAAAAACAUCACUGUUUGGGAGUUAAAAAAAUUACAACCUUUUGUUUGAUUAACUCCAUGUUGCAAAUGAAAAGAAGAAAUAUACUAGUAUUUGGAAUGUACUGCCUAGUUUUCACUAAUGAGUAUUCCACCCCGGUUGGAUUGGCGGAUUGUAAAUAGCUGAUAAAAUUUUAAUGUUGAAAUUCAUUUUAUAAAUAAGCAGUUACUUUUGUGUUGAUGGGCUGAAACAGAUAAUUAAAAGCUGACUUUUUAUCUAAAAAUGACUAAUAUAAUCUUAAAAUUAUUAUACAAAAAGUUACAAAUUUAAAAAUUAUUUUUUUUUAAAGAAAAGGAGAAACAACGGAUACAGGAUACACAACGAAUAGGAAAUUAGAGGUUUUAUUUUGGGAAAGAUAUUUUGAAAUUAAAAAUAAAUAUUAAGAAUAAAAUAGUAAAUGUCUUGGACAAACUAAAAGUGUUUAUACGCUGAAAAGUCAUAAGUUAGGGGUAACUAACUUAUGACCAAACUCGUAGAUAAGCCAAGAAAGUACUUAUACAUCAGUUUGAUCAGUUUAUAAACUUAGUCAAACACUACUAUGUGAUUAAGGUGUUUGUUUAUCUUAUACAAACUCAUUAGUUAAUUCUCAAAUAUGAAUAUGCAGUUUGAUUCCUUUUAUAUAUUUUCUUGUCCUAUGUGAAAGAUUAUAUCUUUUCAUUCUACUAUAUAAAGGAAGAGUUAUGAUACUAAUAUACUAUAACAUUCAUAGAAACCUUUCAAACUAGCAAUAUCCAUAUUUCACAUUUUGGUGCUUGAAGGAAAACUCCAACAUCAAAAUGGUAAGUUCUCCUAGAGAAAAUGUCCAAAAGAAAAAUCUUUCAAUGACUCAAAAUUUAUGUUGCUCGGACUCUCCAAAUAUGUUGUUGCACCUGUGUCGGAUCCUCCAAGAAUAAACGGCUUUUGGAGGACCUGACAGGCACCCGUUGGCAUUUUUGAAGAGUCCGAACAACAUAGCUUAAAAUCAUGCAUGGAAUUUAUGGUUAAUUAGUUUUUUUGUGUUUACUUAUAUGCAGGGGAUGUGCAGAGAUGUCAAGAAUGAAACCAAACAAUCACCAAGGCUAGGGGGAAAUAGAGCAGCUUUAUUUGCAUAUGGUAAAAAUAAAGGCAUAACUUAAUGUAAUAUGAACAACUAGUUUUCAGAGUGUUGAUAAUAUAUGGUAAAUCUUUAAACCAUGCAGCUAUCGCGGGAAUCGAUGUCAUGGCUUUCUUCGCAACUGGUGUGAGCUUGGUGACUUACUUUUAUGGAUUUAUGAACUUCAGCAUAACAGAAUCAGCUACUGCUGUUACAAACUUCAUGGGAACAGCAUUCUUGCUAUCAUUAUUUGGUGCCUUCCUUUCGGAUACUUACUUGUCCAGGUUCAAGACUUGUGUUCUGUUUGGCUGCAUUGAAGUCGUUGUAAGUUAAUCCUCCCGUGCCCCCAUCCCCCUGCUUAUUAUCAGUUUCAACGCUUCUAUCAGUUAGUUUUAAUCAGCUAAGUCAAACGGACUCUUACGUGGAUGUUUCACUUUUCAGGGGUAUGCACUUCUAGCAGUGCAAGCACAUUUCAGGCAACUAAGACCAUUUCCUUGUAAGGAUGUACCCUUGAGCCAAAUGAACCAAUGUGAGUCAGCAAAUAAAGGUCAAUUGGCAAUCUUGUAUGCGGGACUUUAUCUAGUUGCAAUUGGGACCAGUGGAGUUAAAGCAGCAGCACCGCCUUUAGGAGCUGAUCAGUAUGAUGAGAAGGACCCUAAAGAGGCUGCUAAACUAUCAAGCUACUUCAAUUGGCUUAUGUUCUUUCUCACCACUGGUGCCUUGUUUGGUGUCACGUUUGUCGUGUGGAUAAGUGAGAAUCAAGGAUGGGAUUGGUCUUUUGCUGUCUGCAGUAUUGUAGUAGGCUUCUCAAUUCUGUUUCUAACAUUGGGAAAAUCAUUGUAUAGAAACAAUGUCACAAAAGGAAGCCCCCUUACGCGUAUCAUGCAGGUGUUUGUUGUAGCACUUAGAAACAGAAAUCUUCGUUUGCCACAGAAUGAACACGAGUUACACGAGAUUCAGGAUAAGGAAGCUAGAUAUGAUACUGAGAUUCUUCGAAAAACUGAACAAUUCAAGUAUGUUAACACAUUUUACAAUCUCUAAAUUUAUGUUCUAGUUGAAAUUUGAUGCAGCAUAAAUGAUAAAAUCCCUGAAAUCUUUGCAGGUUUUUGGACCGGGCAGCGAUAAACAGGACUGAUCAGGAGGCAUCCACAUCAAAUGCACAUGGACCAUGGAAACUUUGUACUGUCACACAAGUUGAAGAGACAAAAAUUGUCGUCAGAAUGCUUCCAAUUAUAUUAAGUACUGUCUUCAUGAACACAUGUUUGGCUCAGCUCCAAACAUUCACCAUCCAACAAAGCACAACAAUGGACAGAAAAAUCCACAAGUUUGAAGUUCCAGGGGCUUCAAUUCCUGCAAUUCCCCUGCUUUUUAUGAUCAUCCUGAUCCCUAUGUACGAACGUGUUUUCAUACCAAUAGCAAGGAAAUUCACAGGGAUACCAACAGGGAUUCGACAGCUGCAACGUAUAGGUGUUGGCCUAGUACUUUCAUCUUUGUCAAUGGCAGUAGCUGCAAUUGUAGAAAAACACCGAAAAUCAAUUGCCAUUAAACACAACAUGGUUGAAUCUGCCGCUCCAUUGCCAAUGAGUGUCUUCUGGUUAGGCUACCAAUACGCAAUCUUUGGUCUAGCCGAUAUGUUCACAUUAGUGGGGUUACUUGAUUUCUUCUAUUCAGAGAGCUCAUCAAGCAUGAAAGCACUAAGUACCGCGAUUUCUUGGUCUUCACUGGCAAUUGGAUACUACACAAGCUCAAUAGUAGUGAGUACAGUGAACAAAGUAAGUGGUGGAUGGUUGGCUAACAACAACUUGAACAAAGACAAGCUUGAUUACUUUUAUUGGUUGCUAGCAGGAUUAAGUGUGCUAAAUUUCGGGUUUUAUUUACUCUGUGCUUCAUGGUAUAAAUACAAGAAGGUAGAUGUGAAUCCAGAAGACAAUGUCCCUAGUAAUAAGGUUAAGGAGGGCAAGGGGAAGAUUGAAAUGGGCAUAGUUUAGGAAUUUUACAUAAUAAUGUUGAUUGAUUCAGUCUUAAUAAUAUAUGCCUGAGAGCACAUAAUCAUAUGAAAUCUUGUGCUUCCUGCAUUGUUCAUGGAAUAUACUAUAAGUUCAACUGAAACUCAGUAUUUUCGACACAGAGUAGUUUAGACGUAUGUGAAAAAUCAUUUAAACUCAUAAUAUCGAAAGUAGAAUAAGUUCUAAACACAUUAAGAUUGAACCAUAAAACUUAAAUCAUGAAUCCCUCCCCUGUUUGAUCAACUCUUUCUUCAAAGACGAAAAGACUCGAAAGGAAAAAAUAAAACAAACAAUUGAAAGUUAUUGUGAACCAUAAAAUUGCAUAUGUUCUACGAAGCAGGGCAGAGCUAGGGGUUCAAGUGGUUCAUCUGAAUAUUUGCGUCAAAAAAAUACACUAUAUAUAAGGUUAAAACUAUUUUUUAUGUAUACUGAUGUUGAAUCCCGAUAGAUUCUUGUGUGUUCACUUUUUUAUAUUAAAAAUCUUGGCUCUGUGGAACUCCUCAAACUUCCAAAAGGUUAUGAUAUCACCCAUGAGCAAUCAUUAUUUGACCCAUAGGCCAUAGCUAAUGACAAUAAUAGUACUAAAAUCAUUCUUAAUGGUUUCUGAGUUUAUUAAUGUCAUUUUUAAUAUCAAAAUUACGUCGCAAUUAAGCACACUUUGUGGCCUAAAACAAGGAUGAGGAGGAGAAAAAAAGAAGUCACAUGAUUGUCCACUAAUUCGACAAUAAUAUAGUUAUAAAAUCAUUACUAUUAUAUUUCCGAAGACAAGUUAUGUUGUAAUUAGUUAUAUUGAGAUAUGUUAUUUUGAGAUAUUUUUUAUUGACUAUUUGGUCUUGUUGUAUUAAAAAAAGUAUGUAUUGCAAAUUUUUUUAAAUGUUGUUUAUAUACAAAAAUAUCUUCCACCUUAUCUAUAGUAGAAAAAAGGUUCGUGUAUUUGUCAUUUUUAUUGUUUUAUCCUUGGAUAACUACUCCUGAUAUUAUUAUUUUAUCACUAUUUUCUCAUUGAAAAAUAUUCAGUGACUAUUACCGUAUAUAUUUUGCUUACAGAAGGAAAAACAAUAUUCCCUCUGUCUCUAUUUAGUUGUCCACUUUAGAAAUGACACACAUAUUAAGGCAACAAUGAUUAGCAUAGUGAAGUUACAAUUUUACCCUUAUAGUACAAUUUACAAUUUCAAAAUAAAUUCACACAAGAUAACUAAUCAAUGCUCUGGGAAGUUCAUAAGUUUAUUUACUACUCCCUCUGUCCCUAUUUAGUUGUCCACUUUAGAAAUGACACACAUAUUAAGGCAACAAUGAUUAGCAUAGUGAAGUUACAAUUUUACCCUUAUAGUACAAUUUACAAUUUCAAAAUAAAUUCACACAAGAUAACUAAUCAAUGCUCUGGGAAGUUCAUAAGUUUAUUUACCGUAUUUAUGACAACUUUUCACUUCAAAAUUACAGUCACUUCUUUGAAUUCAAGUGAACAACAUACACUUUUACAAUUUUUUGUAUCUUCACUAUGCAUCUAAUGCUUCUAUUCGAUCUUCAUCUUUCCUUUUUAAAUUUUUUACUUCAAUAAUGUUUGGAUCUUCAAUCAAUAUAAGUGAGCCUUCUACUUUGAUAGGAGUAUUAGUUGAAACUUCAAGUUUAUUUCUAUCCAUUUUUUUGAGUAAAAAAAUUGUUCAAAAUUUUUACUCAUAAACUCACGAAAUGUUUUAUGGGUAAUUUAAAGGAUUAUGUAACUCCCCAAGUAUAAUAAAUGUAUUGUCUGGUUCCAAAAAGGAUGAAUUACAGCUUACUAGAUAUUUUCAAGAAGUUUAAAUGAGGGUAUAAUAGGGAAAAUUUUUUGUCCUUUCUUGAUUUAUCAAAAUGGAUAAGUAAAUAGGGACAACUAAAAGAGGAAAUAUGGACAAGUAAAUAGGGACAAAGGGAGUAGUACUUAAUGUUUUCAUACAAAAAAACUAGGAAACUUUCCACUAUUUCAACGAGAAUUUAUUUUCUGCAUGUGUUUUCCCAAUGAGUUAGCUCAAUGGGAAAUAGGUAGGAAAACUGUGUUUCAUAAUACAAAUUUCUUAUUGAUUUGAGGUGGAAAAAGCCUCUGUAUAAUAUAGUAAUGUAUUCUCUGGUAAGAAUAACUUAUUUUAAUACUAAUUACUAAUCAUGAUAUAACUUAUUCAUGCAAGAUUGGUAACCAAAUAAAGAAUAAAGCUAUAUUAAUUUCUUAUCUCAAAACUAUCUAUACUUGUCUAGCAUACCAAACCACCCAUAUAGUUUCUCAGCUUCAUUUUCAAUCAAAUCAUUUAGUUUUACUGUUUAAUUUAAUUUUUUUUGUUUAUUGCUUUUUCCCUAUUCGUUUCUUCCGUCCACUUUUAAUUGUCAUGGUUUCUAUUUUUAGAGUCAAACUAUAAGAACUUUGACUAACAUUUUAAGAUGUAUUUUUCCAUCAUAUUGAUAUGACAAAAAAAUUGCAAUUUAUAGUACUUUUCAUAUAGUUUUUGAUCAUCUAAAUUUUUUGUUUAAAAUAUCGAAUUAAUGUAAUCUAAUUUAACUUUGAAAAUUAGUCAAAUUGACUUUCGAAAAGCGCAACAUAACAAAUAAAAGUAGACAGAGGGAGUACUUUUUUGUUGAGUGGGUAAAAUUGAUUCGUGAAAUCCACAUAAAAAUGAUUUUUGUACGGAAUAUUAGUAUAUACCACUACUUAAUUAUAAAGUUGUUUUGAGUGACGGCACCAAAAAAACAACUAACAAAUAAUUAAUGUGAUUUUCUGUACAUGGUAAGGAUACAACUAACAUUAUGAAAGAUUUUUUAAAAACUUAAUUAAGUAUUUUCCAAUGUACCAAAAGAAGAUAUUUAACAUUAUUAGUAGUCUAUUUAUAUGACAGAAGCUAAAACAAACAGUUUGGCUUAGCAAAAGAGAAGAGAGAAGCUACAAUCUAAAUGGUAAGUAAAAUUAGCAAUUAUAUGUUUUUAGCAUAUGAAGUAUUUUCCAAAAUUAAGAAAUGUUUGGCUAAAAUGUAAAUAGUUUUAUUUUGAUAACUGUUGCAGGGGAUUUGCAGAAAUGUCAAGACUGAAGAAAAUCAACUUCAAAAGAAGGGGGGAACUAGAGCAGCUCUUUUUGUCUAUGGUAAGCAUAUUUCAAGUAUAUAAUUGUUUAACUCUCUUGACAUAGAGCGGAAUUCAAUUGAAGUCCCUUCGUCGAAGAAUAAUAUUAUGCUUAUAUAUGGAGUAGUAUGGGCGGAGCCACCUUAGACGAAGGAUGGUCUGGUGCACAGUGCACACCCUUCUCUAGGGAAUUAUGUGGUGAAUAGAGAUUAAAUGUUAGCUAUAAUGAGUUAUGUGGUGUAUAGAGAUUAAAUGUUAGCCAUAAUGAGUGUAUUUUUUAAUAAUUUAGGGGAAACUUUUAUAUUCUAGUGGUCAAGUAGCUCAAUUUUUUCUUUGAGUUGUAGGUUUGAAUAAAGAUAUAACACAUGGGCCUAACUCGAUGGGUCUGACUCUAAUACCAUGUAAAGAUAUGGCACCUAGGCCUAACUCAAUCCCAAUAACUAGCUCGAUUUGUCCAAGUCCAUAUAAGGAGACCAAAUUCCCAUCCCUCUACGGAUGUGGGACUUCUUAACCGAAACCACUCGCAAGAAAUCCUGACCUCCGCCACUGAUUUUGACUAUGGAGUUUUGAUAUUCUGAUAUCUGAUUAUGCAGUUGUGGCGGGGGUUGAUACCAUGGCUUUUAUUUCAAAGGGUGUGAGCCUGGUGACUUACUUCUCUGGGUAUAUGAACUUCAGCUUAACAAAAUCUGCCAACACUGUGACAAACUUCAUGGGAACAGCGUUUUUGCUCUCAUUAUUUGGAGCUUUUCUCUCAGAUACUUACUUCUCCAGAUUCAAGACUUGUGUUCUAUUUAGCAUCAUUCAAGUUUUGGUACUUGUUUAUUUAUACAUCUUCCCUAUGAAAGAGAAAAACAUAUAUAUUUCAAAGGUCCGUGCAGGAUCAUGAACUGACUUUGAUCAUUCUUUCAAUGUUAGGGAUAUGCACUACUAGGAGUUCAAGCGCAUUUCAGCCAACUGAGACCAUUUCCCUGCAAGGAUGUACCUUUAAGCCAAAACGAUCGAUGUGAAUCUGCAGAUGCAGGCCAAUUGGCAAUCUUGUAUGGAGGUGUUUAUCUGAUAGCACUUGGAAACAGUGGAGUAAAAGCAGCUUUGCCAUCAUUGGGUGCUGAUCAAUUUGAUGAAAAGGAUCCCAAAGGGGCUGCUAAGCUAUCAAGUUACUUCAAUUGGCUGCUGUUCUUCAUCACCAUUGGAGCCAUGCUUGGAGUUACAUUGUUUGUUUGGAUAGGUGACAAUCAGGGAUGGGAUUGGUCAUUUGGUAUCUCCUCUGUAGCAGUUGGAUUGUCAAUCCUACUCUUGACCAUGGGAAAACAGUUCUACAGAUACAAUGUUCCUAAAGGAAGCCCUCUGAUGCGUAUUUCGCAGGUUCUUGUUGCAGCUUUCAGAAACAGAAAUCUCCCACUACCACAAAACAAAGAAGAUUUACAUCAGAUCAGAAGUGGAGAGGCUGAAAAUGGAAUAGAGAUUAUUCAAAGGACUGAUCAAUUCAAGUAUUUAAUAACACCUUUAUAGUUUCAGUUUCCUGUUGACAUGUUGCUUUACUUAACCAAAUUUUCCACAAUAUGUACAGAUGUUUGGACAGGGCAGCCAUACCGAGGAACAACCAAGAAGCAUCCACAUCAAAUGCUCAUGGACCAUGGAGCCUUUGUACUAUCUCACAAGUUGAAGAAACAAAGAUUGUAGUCAGAAUGCUACCAAUUAUACUGAGCACCGUCUUCAUGAACACUUGUAUGGCUCAACUCCAGACCUUCACUAUCCAACAAAGCAUGACAAUGAACAGGAAAAUUGGAAACUUUGAACUCCCAGCGCCUUCCAUACCUGUAAUUCCUCAAAUAUUCCAACUCAUCAUGAUCCCAGUCUAUGAUCGCAUCUUUGUUCCGAUAGCAAGAAAAUUCACAGGGAUCCCUUCUGGGAUUCGACAACUGCAACGUAUAGGUGUUGGGCUAAUACUUUCAAUAGUAUCUAUGGCAGUGUCUGCAGUUGUAGAAAGUCGCCGGAAAUCAGUUGCCAUUGAGCAUAACAUGGUUGACUCAGCCAAUCAAUUACCUAUGAGUGUGUUCUGGCUUGGAUUUCAAUUUGUAAUAUUUGCAACAGCUGAAAUACUUACAUUGGUAGGGCUGUUGGAUUUCUUCUAUGCAGAGAGCACAUCAGGCAUGAAAUCACUGAGUAUGGCCAUUACUUGGUGUUCACUGGCAUUCGGGUACUUCACAAGCUCAGUAGUGGUGAGUGUAAUUAACAAGGUGAGUGGUGGCUGGUUAGCUAAUAACAACUUGAACAGAGACAAGCUCGACUACUUCUACUGGUUGCUCGCAGCAGUCAGUGUGCUGAACUUUGGCUUCUACUUACUCUGUGCUUCUUGGUACAAGUAUAAGAAGCCAGAACUGAACCAAGAAGGUCCUAUCUCUGAUGAGAAGCCUAAGGGAAAAACUGAAAUGCGUGUUGUUUAGAAUUUAUGAAUCGUCAUGAUGUUCAACCUAAAUUAUGUCAUAUAAUAAUAAAAUGUGAUUGUGAACAUAUUACAUUGUCCAAGUAAUCCUGUUUCACUGGUUUUGUUGGAAAAUCCCUUUACACAUACAAAUAGAAUCAUAAAACUCAUUAGAGAAUCAGAACACGCAACGGUUAAUACAGCCCCUAAGGGGCUAACUCAGGAUCAGCUUGUCAAUGCUCUCUUUGUUGCUAAUGAUGUUUGGAUCCUUUCAAGCAUUCUUUCAAACAGGUUGUGGGUAAUGUAGUGUAUGUUUUAACCUGAAAUUUCCUAUUCAGCACAUAUUCUUUCAGACAGGUUGUGCAUAAUGUUAGUCAAAAAUAUUAUAAUUAAAUAAUUGGAGCGGGUAUCAAUAAGAUAAUUAAAAUGGAUAUCUUAUUAUCUGUUAAAAAAAUAGUUUAAAACAAAAAUUAGAGUCAACAAAAUUUAAUCAAAAAUCAUUAAAGAUUAAUUGGGUGACUUUCUAAGUAAAAUAUCAAUAGUUUAGUGACUUUCUAAGUAAAAUAUCAACUACUGAGUUAUAAAAUGAAGCUGACUGACUUUCUAAGUAAACUAUUCAAAGUUGAGUGAGCAUUUGAGAUAUUAUCUCCAUAAUGUUGUCAAAGUUCUCUAUAUUCUCAUGUUUCAUACUUACGCCUCACUUCCUCCUACAUAAAAUGCCUCGUCUUGUGCCCCGACUUUUAAAAACACUAAUGUUACUCUCAACAAACUUUCUGAGUACAAUUUAUUAGGAUUUGUUUGGUUUGAACACAAGUUAUUUUGGGGUUUAAUUAUCUGAAAUUAGCUCGACUGUUUAGUUUGUUAUAUUAAAAAUAAAUAUAAUAUAUAAAAUGCCCUUUAACUUGAUCUCAAUUGACAUCUAUGACCUCGAACUUUGAGUGUGCGCAAGUAAACACUUAAACUUGAUCCCUUGUUAUAUUUCAUCUUCAUUUUCGUUCAAUCAAAUCAAUAAAUGAUAAUCAAACAUGAGUUUUAUAGUGCCAAUUAGAUUAGAAAAAUGUUUGAUUUUAUUUUACUUUUUGUGUUUUGCUUUUUCCUUUGACGUUUCUUCCUUUUUCUCUUUUUUUGUUGAGUGCGUGGAUAUUAUUUUUAAAAGAUAAGAUAUUCAAAAAAUCCAAAAUAAAUUGCUUCAUGAAAGUUUCGUAACAAUAAUUUUGCAUGAGAAAAAGAAAAUUGAACAAAAGUAGAGGCUACCUAAAAAGUUCAACAUUAUUAGUAGUAGUUUAUAUUUAUUUAUUACAAGACAAGAAGCAAACAGAAAACUACUCUCAAGUUGAGUUUGCCAAAACAUAGAUAUAUAUACAUCUCAAAGUAUUUGUCACAUUUAAGUUUGGAUUGCAAAUAAGAAUCUGCAAUAGAAAUGGUAAGCUGCCUUUGUAAUUGUAUGUUUUUAGCAUAUGAAAUAUAAGAAUUGUAUUUUCCAAAAUUAAGAAAUGUUUGGCUAAAUAGCUGUAAAUAGUUUAAUUUGAUAAUUAUUGCAGGGAAUUUGCAGAAAUGUCAAGACUGGAAAAGAAACUUCAAAGCAAGGGGGAACUAGAGCAGCUCUUUUUGUCUAUGGUAAGUAUCUAAUUGUUUAACUUUCUUGAUAGGAGGGAGAUUCAAUUGAAGUCCUUUCGUCGAAAAAACUAAUAUAUGUGAUGAUGGUUAGGGGUUAAAAUUCCUGGCUCCACCGUUGAUCUUUAACUUUGGAGUUCUGAUAUUCUUACAUCUGAUCAUGCAGUUGUGGUGGGGAUCAAUACCAUGGCUUUGAUUUCAAAUGGUGUGAGCCUGGUGACUUACUUCUAUGGGUAUAUGAACUUCAGCUUAACAAAAUCUGCCAAUACCGUCACAAACUUCAUGGGAACAGCAUUCUUGCUCUGAUUAUUUGGAGCCUUUCUCUCAGAUACUUACUUCUCUAGAUUCAAGACUUGUGUUCUGUUUGGCAUCAUUAAAGUUUUGGUACUUCUUUAUUUUUACAUCUUGGUUAUGCAAGAAAACAAAUUAUAUGUCCAUGCAGGAUCAAGAAUUGACUUUGAUAAUUCUUUCAAUCUUAGGGAUUUGCACUACUAGCAGUUCAAGCACAUUUCAGUCAACUGAGACCAUUUCCCUGCAAGGAUGUACCUUUAAGCCAAAACAAUCUAUGUGAAUCUGCAAAUAGAGGUCAAUUGACACUCUUGUAUGGAGGUGUUUAUCUGAUAGCACUUGGAAACAGUGGAGUCAAAGCGGCUUUGCCAUCAUUAGGUGCUGAUCAAUUUGAUGAAAAGGAUCCCAAAGGGGCUGCUAAGCUAUCAAGUUACUUCAAUUGGCUACUGUUCUACAGCACCGUUGGAGCCAUACUUGGCGUUACAGUUUUAGUCUGGAUAAGUGACAAUCAGGGAUGGGAUUGGUCAUUUGGUGUCUGCUCUGUAGCUGUUGGUUUGUCAAUCCUGCUCUUGACCAUGGGAAAACAGUUUUACAGAUGCAAUGUUCCUAAAGGAAGCCCUCUGAUGCGCAUUUCACAGGUUCUUGUUGCAGCUUUUAGAAACAGAAAUCUCCCACUGCCACAGAACAAAGAUGAUUUACAUCAGAUCAGAAGUGGAGAACCUGAAAAUGGAACUGAGAUUCUUCAAAGGACUGAUCAAUUCAAGUACUUAAUAACACCUUUUUAGUUUCAGUUUCUUGUUGGCAUAUUGCUUUACUUAACCAAAUUCCCAUAAUAUGUGCAGAUUUUUGGACAGGACAGCCAUACUGAGGAACAACCAAGAAGCAUCUACAACGAGUGCCCAUGGACCAUGGAGCCUCUGUACUAUCUCACAAGUUGAAGAAACAAAGAUUGUAGUCAGAAUGCUCCCAAUUAUACUGAGCACCGUCUUCAUGAACACUUGUAUGGCUCAAUUCCAGACCUUCACAAUCCAACAAAGCAUGACAAUGAACAGGAAAAUCCAAAACUUUGAAAUCCCAGGGCCUUCCAUACCUGUAAUUCCUCAAUUGUUCCAACUCUUCCUGAUCCCAGUCUAUGAUCGUAUCUUUGUUCCAAUAGCAAGAAAAUUCACGGGGAUCCCUUCUGGGAUUCGACAACUUCAACGAAUAGGUGUUGGACAAGUACUUUCAGCAGUUUCUAUGGCAGUGGCUGCAGUUGUAGAAAGUCACAGGAAAUCAGUUUCCAUUAAGCAUAACAUGGUUGACUCAGCCAGUCCAUUACCUAUGAGCGUGUUCUGGCUUGGAUGCCAAUUUGUAAUAUCUGCAAUGGCUCAAAUAUUUACAUUGGUGGGAUUGAUGAAUUUCUUCUAUGCAGAGAGCACAUCAGGCUUAAAAUCACUGAGCAUGGCCAUUUCUUGGUCUUCGCUGGCAUUUGGAUACUUCACAAGCUCAGUAGUGGUGAGUGUAAUUAACAAGGUGAGUGGUGGCUGGUUAGCUAAUAACAACUUGAACAGAGACAAGCUCGACUACUUCUAUUGGUUGCUAGCAGGAGUCAGUGUGCUGAACUUUGGUUUCUACUUACUAUGCGCUUCUUGGUACAAGUAUAAGAAGCCAGAACUGAAGCAAGAAGAUCCUAUCACUGAUGAGAAGGCCAAGGGAAUUACUGAUGUUUGACCCAAAUUAUGUCAUAUAAUAAUAUUGUGGUUGUGAACAUAUUACAUAGUAGUCCAAGUAGUCCUGCAUCAGUGGUUUUAGUUGAUCAAAUAUUCCAAGGUGCAAACCAUAUCUAUAGGAGAAGAAAUCCUGGCAUGAAAGUUUGAGACUUGAAUUGUUAAUUGAUGUAAGUACCCUGUUGCAGCAGAAUGUAAUACAUUCCAACCAUUCUAAUCUAUCCAUUGCUAAACCACUCCUUGCUAUAUUUAGUUUUGAAUGUCUUGUUAUUUAGUUGCCAUUGACACUGAAAGAACUUGGUCUUACAAUGCAUUUCUUCUUCUUCUGUUUCGCCUUUUUUAAAUACCAGAGCUAGGACAAAGUAGCUAAGUUAAACUUUAAGCAAUUAACUGGUCGUAAAAGAAUAAGGACUGUGAAAAAGUGGAUUGUGUCGGCAAUCCCACAGACAAAGCAAACGUGUUAGAAAUCAAGGGUACUUGGACAGUUAACAUCCUGAAUUGCAUACUUUAAAAUCUGGGUUUUCUACUGACAGAAUUUAAGUUCUCGCACAUAAAUAAGCAGCAUCACAUCCUCAUCUGCUAGUAACCCAGGAUGAAUGGAGCAAGCACCAGAUCAUGAUGCAAGACCCUGUUAACUGGACCACAAGCCAAUUGCAGACUCUCAAAGACAUGUUGGCUCUAUCCUAAGGGGCAAUCCCUCCCACUCAACAUUUCCCUCAAAAGAUAAGUUAGAGAGCACAAAUUAAAGGCUAGUAGAGCAAGGAUUAUCUGAUGUGAACUUGGGACAUAGGUAAAGAAGAGACCUACCAUUUUAGAGGUUCCUUUAGCUAGUUCAUGUAAUUAGGGAAAUUCACAUGAACCUCUUAAUCCAAGCAUUCAUUUAGUGCAUUUGGAAGCAAGUGAUAAACUUUCAUAAAGCAGGGUAAAACUCAUCUUCAAUCUCGAAUAAUUGUCACUUCUUCAGAUUUAUAAAGCAGGGUAACUCAUUCCUUUCCAACCACUGUUUUUUAAAUAGUUCCUUUCCAACGACUUUCAAUAUACAAAGGAUAUGAUGUACAAAUUAGGUAACCAUUUUCAAUUUUCACGGUAAGGAAGAUAAGAAUCUAAAUUACGGCAGGCCAGGACUAGAUAUAAAUUUCCCUACCAUCUAACAUCCAAUGUUAAGGGCUCUGGUGGGACAAGAAAAGAAGAAAUUUUGGUGAAGGACAUAUUUGACAUCAAAUUACUCCAAGACGAUGAAUCUACUUCAAUAAAAGGUCUGACCUUCUUAAUCAAACGUGGCUUCAAGAUCUCUGCCUCAAACCUUGCUGUUACUUCAAACCAUGAAUGUUCAACAGCUGGCCUUGUUCUCCACUCCCCCAAAGUAGUCCAAUAUGUGUCGUUGUUUUGAAUACCUCUUUCCAGCUCUAACUGGAAGCGGAAAAGGGUCAAGUCUUUAACUUUCACUUUUAUGAGAUUGAAACGUGCAAUUUCACUGGUUUUUCCACCUAGAAACCUCCUUAGAAUUUUUUCCAGUAAUGUUAUCUUCUGGCUCAGAAAAUCAUUGUACAAGCUCCACUUUCUGUAGAUAUGCCUUGUAUAACAUUUUUCAGAAAGCAACUUGAUAGAUCUUUUGGAUACAGACGCAGUUUCAAUUCUUAAGUCGGGGUUUCUGGUUAUAUAGGCAAGUACUGAAGCAGGUCCCCUUACAUGUACGGGAAGUAAUGGUAUGCAGGACGAUUGCGACAUAUAUCUAAAUUGACCACUUCCUGACUUGGUCAAAAUGCUUCCAUUUACUAAUUUAAGCAAAUCAGAGAUGUUGAACAUUGAUAUUUCAUCAGCACCUUUAACUUCUACAGUGAUGCCCUCACCAACAAGGAUCUUUUUCAACCCAGUAUAGGAAGAGUUCAGCUGUUAAAAAGGUAAAUAACAUAAUGUUGUUAGCCCACCAUGAAAACACAUAAUGAUUAGAAAAAUCUUACUUUCAGUGCUCGAAUAGAACACAUAAGGCAUCAACUCAUGACGAAUCACAAUAAAGCAACUAGCUGCAAACUAGCAAGAAGAGAUCAAAGCACAAAUCUAUAUCCAUUUUAAGAGAAUAUGUCAAACAUCAACAUCCAAACAGGCUAGAUAUGUCAACAUGUCCAGGCACAAAGAAAAGAUUUUCUCUGUGAUACAACAUGAUAAUAUUCCUAUACACGAAGAAACAUAAUAGAUAGAAGAUCAUUCACAGAGAACAUACGCUAGUUUGGCAUUUUCUCCCUACUACAGUCAAUACAUUGAACAAAUAUAUGAUGCAACCACAAAUUUGAUGUUCUCUCCCUGUGAAAGAGUCGAAGUUCGAGAAAAGCUGCAUCUAAAGAAGUUCUGUGCAUAUGCAGCAGCUCUGUUUUGGACUAAACUACAUCAGCCUAUAACAACUUCUGCCGAUAUAAUUGCAGAUUCCUUUCUAGAAUCUGAUAUGUCAAUUAAAACAUCAAGUUGAGUUAGCACUCCAUAAAUAUGCUGAACCUAAGUACUUCCGGAGUUUUGGCCAGUAGUACAUUGAUAUGCAAAGAGUUUUAAAAACUACAUGGUGGAUUUGAUUUAGCAAAUGCAGAAAAUAAGCCGGGUGGACAAGUGUCAUGGGAGAAGAUUGCUUCAUCUAACUGUCUACUUCACCAGGCACUCCAAUAUAAGGAUCAACAACCAAAUAUUACAUCUUUAAGAUAGUAUAGUUACAACACAACCAUAGUUUUGCAACCAAUCUGAGUGGAUCUACGAUUUCAAGUCAGUGACAGUUAAGUACCACUACUCAUUUGUAACAGUGGGUGCAAGUUCACAUUUUUAUACUAUACACAUAGAACUACAGCAGUACAGCUGAACUGGGUGUUAGCCACUACUCCUUUGUGAUGACGGGUGAAGCCUUGGUGUGUGUAUACAUUUAAAAAAAUUCAACCAUAUAGAUAGAGCUUCUACCCACUACUCUUUCUGACUACGGAUGCUGCCUUAUUAUGCGUAUGUAUUUAAAAAAAUUCAAUUAUAUGCAUAAAACUCGAGCUGAAGUGGGUGCACCAGUAAAUCCUUUCAGGUGUAUGCAGCCAAUUACAUCCAAAUACAAGACACAAAUGCAGCUCAGGAAACAACAUUAGAUAGGAAGCAGAGACCAUCUACAGGAAAACUAUCUGAUGUAACUUGCAAAAUGUACUGCUACAAACAAAGGCAAUAUUAAAGGAUUCGGGGAACAUACGGGAAAGGUCAAGGAGAGGUAAUCAUCUCCAGUAGCGUAUAAUUCGAAUGGCCCUUGGAUUUUUAGGACAUCAAGAGUGACCUUGGAACCAAUCUCUUUAACCAAAGACUCGAAGUCGGAUUCAUUUUUGUUAGGAAAGUGAAAGCUUUUCCACUGAGAUACUUCGUCUGCCAUCAUGAAUACGAAUUCCGUCUUCCCAAUUCUGACCCGAAACUCAUACUUCCUGAAAGUCCCAAACUUUGACUUCUUUACAUCCAAUUUGGAAACUCUCAAGUCCUGUAAAUCCCAUUUCUCUCUCUCAGCAAUUCCCUCUAACACGUCCUGAAUAACAUAUACAAAUAGAACCAUAAAUUAGAGAAACAGAACAAAUAAUAGUGUAAUUAGUCAAAACCCAUUAGAGAAACAGAGCAAAUAACAGUAAUUAAGCAAAACACAUUAGAGAAACGGAACAAAUAACAGUAAUUAGUCAAAACCCAUUAGAGAAACAGAGCAAAUAACAGUAAAUACACAAACCCAUUAGAGAAUCUGAACAAAUAACAGUAAUUAGGCAAAAACCCAGUUGGAUAAUUGAACAAAACCUCGAGAAAUGAAGGAGGAUUAGGUGAAGAUUGGGGAUAUUCCUCGUAGUUGAUUCUUGGAUAAAGGAAGUGAGAGAUGUUGAAAGGUAUGGUGGAUGAAGUGGCAAUUGAAACUGGAAAUGGGGAUAGAGUAAACAGGACCAAAAAGAGUAGGAGAAAAAUAGUAGUCGAAGAAGAAGGGAAAUGGAUCAUUGUCGGUCUUUGAGUUUGCUCUGCAAUGGCGAUGGGAUUAACAAGCUUUGCUUUUUCUGCAGAGAACAAUCAGAUCUUCACAGGGAGAAGGAAAAUGACUAUUUGGGACACUGCAGUACAUGAUUGUACAUCAUGAAUUAUGCGUAGUGCCAAGUCAAUAAGUUUACGUAUAAUAUUUAUUACGUAAACAAAUUUCAAAUGGAUAUCCGAAUUCCUUUUCUUUUUUUUUAGUUCUAUACCUUUUUUUACGAAAUCUUUUCAUUUUUACACGUAAAGACUUUGAAAUUGUUAUUUUCAUAAAAAAAGCAAUUCAAUAUAUGUUUGUAUCCUAUUUUUCGUUAGAUUUCAUACUCCGUCAAAUAUUGUCAUUUUAAAUUUGGGGAAAAAAAUCAAAUGCAUCCUAAAUUUGUUCCGAAGAAUUAAUUACACACUUAAAUUGAGUGAAGAGGUAUAAGACCGGCACAAUAGGUUGAGAGUGUCAUCAACUUAUCGUGCAUUUGAUGUCUACACAACCAUUUUAGCAAUUCAUAUAUUUGCCACACUCAUCUUGUUGGACUGUUUGCAUGACAUUUAAGUUGUAACACUACUGGCUUACAAUCAUUUUAUAGAACUUUCGUUUCACUAUAUUAUAGCUCAUUCAUAGAUAUUGGAAUAGCCAAAAAGAUAAAAGGGUAGCGCUAAGAAGCCAAGAAAACUCAUCUCAAAAGGAUGGCAAAUCUUGAGGCUAAUUGCCUUCGCAAUUCAAAACAAUAUAUGCCACAUCUUAAGGUUGUGCACUUGUAAGUUCAUAACUUAACACUGAAGAAAAUUGUUACAUAGAGACCAUACUUCAUAAUUCACUACAUUCAGCACGAAUACAAGCAAAUAUUAAACAUGUUCGGCCUCAGAAUAUUGUGUCACGAUUUACAGCUGAAACUUUGUUGGGUCCAUAUAGACACCAUCGUGUCUCCCCUAGUCUGUUUCUCCACUCCACGGUUUAGGAGAAAGGGAAAAUGUUCCAGUUCUUCAGAUCAUGACAACUGAGUCGCUAAUUCCAAUGAUCAGCUUUAUCUCUGAGACUUUCCACUACAUAAAAUUGCAGAAACACCCAAUAUAGGGCCCUUGAGAAAAACAAUCACACAGGCGGAUUAAGAUAAUCCAUCCUCAAAGUUGGUUGUUCAAAUUGUGGAUCGAACAACAGCAGGUGGGAUGGGAAAGAUUAUACAGCUGAUCCAAUGAGCCAGAAGGCAGUGAAUGAUCAGUAAAAGAAUAAAGAGAUGAAAGAAGUCAGUAGAACACCUCCAUCUUAGACAGGGUCAAGAAACUGCAACUACUCUCUUCUCCAUUACUGAUCCAUGCAGGGUGUCCGACACCCUGGAUGGGGGCCAAUAUCUGAAUACUGACCUACCAACAAUGUUUGCAACGGGAAGAGGACCCCUGAGAAAUUAGACAGUACAGAUGAGAUCAAAAUUCUGCAUAGAGAUAAACAAACAAGAACACCAAAUGAUUUAAGGAUUCUUUUUUGCUAUUACAACUAUGAAGGGUUCCCAUGGAGAACAUGACACACCACUGCUUCUUGGUUCUUAUUGUUUCAGCUUCCUAACCCACCAUGGACAAGUGAUCCCAAUGGGAUUAUCACACUCACAAACAAGGGAAUUUUUUAAGGGCCUGUUUGGAAGGACACCCUGGUAAUUGGAUUUGGUGUAAUUGGUGAAAUUACACUGUCUUGUCCUGUUUGGAAGGUCAUGAAAUUACUUGGUCAGCAGGUAAUUGGUGUAAUUGGCAGGGGUAAUUACACUCUACAAUUCAUAGGCAGAGGCUGUGAAUUGCUGGUGUAAUUACCACCUGAUUACUUUUUAAUUUCUUUUGUUUAUUUCUAUUUUAAUUUUUUUACUUCUAUUAUUUUAAGUUCUUUUUUAAUUUUAUUAUUCUAAAAAUUUGUAAAAGUUUAUUUUUUAUUUUUUUAUAUUAUAUUUCAUUUNNNNNNNNNNNNNNNNNNNNNNNNNNNNNNNNNNNNNNNNNNNNNNNNNNNNNNNNNNNNNNNNNNNNNNNNNNNNNNNNNNNNNNNNNNNNNNNNNNACCUUACUUUACGUGAUUCUAUGUAAUUCUUUCAUAUUAUCUAUUUCUUUAUGCCAUGCUUAUUUUCUCAUUAACAUAAUUCUAUUAGUAUUCUAAUUUUUAACUUAAAAUAGAAUUUAUUGUUAAGUAAGGUUAUAGACUUACGUUUUCUUUAUUAAGAAAAAAUAAAAAUAAAUCAUAUUUGUUGCUAUGUUGAAAUUUGUUAUAAGAGUAUUAUGUUAAAUUUUUUGUUUUGAAUUUAUAACUUAUGUUAUAUUUUCAAUUUCAUUUGUUUUAGUAAUAUUGAAUCUAUAUUGCACGUCAUUUUUAAUUAGAGUUGAUAAAUUAUAUUUUUGUCAAACAUUUAAUAAUUUAUGACAUUUUAUUUAUAUAUUAUUCUUUUUAUCAAACAUGCAUUUCACGAUGUUCGUAGAAACUUCAUACUUUUAGUUGUUAUGAUCAAUUCAAUUGAAAUAUAUUAAUUUGAAAAAAUAUAAAUCAAUUAUUUUUUCAUAAUAUUAGUUAAGAAAAUAUGUUUAUUAAUUAAUAUAUUUUCAAAAAGAAUAUAUAUCUUAAAUAUUUAAUUUAAUGUCAUUUAUAAAGUUUCUUGUUUGUCUAGUAUAAAUUUUAAAUAAUCAAUUUUUAUUUUAAAAUUUUAUUAUAAUUUUAUGAUUGCAAUUGUGCAUCCAAACAGAACAUGUGGAAUUAGGCAUCCAAACAGGACAUGUGUGUAAUUACACUGUGGCAACCAAACAGGUCAGUGUAAUUACUAGACAGUGUAAUUACUAGGCUGGUAACCAAUUCCAAUUACCAGGUGGCUUUCCAAACAUACCCUAAAUGUAUUUAAAGGAAGGCUUGGUUUUAGGGGAGGGCAGAGACAGAAGACAAGGUUGAACAUUACUACAGCAACUCUUCCUCAGCAGUGAAUUGUUGCUUCUCUAUUUAAAAAAUAAACUAGAUCGUUCAAUGCUCACCAGUUGUGAGAAUCAAAGCUAUUAUUGCGAUUGUCCCCCAUCACGAAGACAUAGCCUUCAGGAACAAGCUAUAAAAUGACAAAGCAGUGUAUUAGAUCUUUGAAGAAAUUACAUCAUAUAGACAUCAUUGCAUGUAGACAAAAUAUAUGCAUUACCACUGGUUCCAUUUCAUAGGCAAGGGGCUCUAAAAUGAAAUCUUCAUCUUGAGCAACACCAUUCAAAAACAGUUUACCCUCACGCACCUGCAUAAAGUGUAAUCCUUAAAUAAGAUAGCACACUUGACAAAGCUACUAGCAAAACAUGGUAAGAGAAGAAGAACUUACUUCAACAUAAUCCCCAGCUAAUGCAACAACUCUUUUAAUGAAGACGUCUCCAGCACUACAACCAAAAAUAUGCUGCAAGAUACAGAAAACUGCCUGUUGAUAAAUGUGUGUGCAGAGUAAAAAUUUCACACUACAAGCAAUCCAGACAACUCUGGCGUACCUGAAGGAUUGGUGGUGCUUUAAAUAUCACUAUGUCUGAAAUGUCAGGUUGCCGAAAAAAAUAUGAAACCUGAAAUGCAACAGGAAGCAUAAUAAUCAGUGAGAAGUGUAAACAAUCAGGACAUAAAAUCUUAAUUUGCAUAGAAUCCCAACAUGUCAAAGUUUCACUAACAAUUGCAGUACACUCAUCUGUUGCAUGAAAGGAAUCAAGAUAUAAAGAUAGAACUAAUCAUAAGCAUAAUGAGCUUUCUUUCCCCAAUCAGGACAAUUGGUUGCUUAGCACUACUUGUACAACCCUCUCAACAAGGUUGGAUGCAAGACAGACUUCUUAAUUAAAGAAAUCAGCUCAAUAAAAGAUUGAAUUUGCCAGAACACAAUGGGAAUUCAUUCAACAUUUCUGAAGUCCAAACAAAAUCAUUGAUAACAAAAAUGGAGAAGGAAGACAUCAACCGUCUAACACAAUUAUUAUGGUGCAAGGAAACAAAACGAUGCUUUUGCAAAAACAUCGAUAAACCAAAUAAACUAGUAAGCAAUUAGGAUCGGGUUGGACAAUAUAUUCAAUCAAUCAAUUGACUAUGCUUCAUAUUUCAGUUAAAAAGUGCCAUCAGAUCAAAUAAUUCUAGUAAGACUCUGAAAACUGAAUAGGAAAAUACUAGAUUAUCAAGACACCAAAUAUCAUGGUAACCAUCAAUCACAUAUUCAGGCCAGUUAUUUGCCAAUGAAAAACAGUAAUAUACUCAAGCUACUUGCCAGUAUCUCUACGUCUUCAAGCUAUAUCAAUAAACUUCAGCAAAAAGAAAGAAUUAAAUAUACCUUUUCAGCCAUUAUACGGUCACCCUUAUCCAGAGUAGGGGACAUGGAAGCAGAUGGAAUUGAUCUUGGCUCAGCCAAAGAUGACUUAAACAUUAUGCUAACACUCAAAGCUGUAAAAGCAGCUUUUGCAUCAUCAGAGCAGAUGUUCAACAACUUUGACACCCAACGGCUCUUGGAAACCUUCAUUUCAUUGGACAAAGGCUCCGACCGAACAAAACUUUCACUACACCUAGUUUCAGUCCCACCUUUAUCCACCUCGGAACUCGCCGAGGACCCAAUACUGGGCUCAUUACAAGGAAGCCAUUUCGAGCCCUGAAAAAAUGGAAGAAAGGAAGACGCCUUCAAAGGCGAAAUCCCCAAAGUAUUCAUGGUACAAGACCCAGAAGAAGACCUCAUCAGCGAAAUCAAUCCAACAACCAAAGGUGAAUUCGAACUUCCGCCAAGAAGCUCAGAAGCAAACGACGAACACACUGAACUGGAAGAAAACGACCGGGAAGAGUAAGUAUUACUCACCGGCCGUGGUUUCGGUUUGGUCCGGCGGAAAUCGGAGCAAUUUGAUUCGGGUUUUUGAGCUGGUGGAUGGAAAAUUCGAGAUCGGACAGUACAUUCGUGAAAAAACCUGCAACCCACGACUUUCGAAGAAGCCGAUGAUGCUAGGUUUUGGGCUAGGUAGCCGGAAUAGGUAACGGUGAACCGGAUCGCCAUAAUAACAAAUUGUAAUAAACCGAGCAAGAUGUAGAGAAUUGUGGGUUCGGAAACUAACGGGGAGAGUUGUAAAAACCUUACAAGAAGCGAAGAAAUGCCAUCGGGAUUGAUGAAAUCAGAGAAUUGGAGAAGAAAUCGGUGAAUUGAAAAGUUAGGUCAACGGUUUGAGUAUAAGAAUUGAACGGUGAACUGAAAGAAUCGGAUCAAAAUUAGGGUUUUUCAAGAGGGUAUUAAGUGAACGGAAAAGGGAAAUGAUGAUUUUGCUCUCGACGACGGCCGGCGAGAACUCGCCGGAGAAAAAGGGGAGGAUAUUCAGAUGCCAGGAAAGUGAGAAGUCCACAAUUUUGUGAAGGGUUUCGGGUAUAAUAGUUGGCGGCUAUUUGUUGUGUGGAAAACUGCCCUUGUUUUUUACAAUAACUACGGAAAUACCACUCCCUCAUCUGCUGGGUCUUGUCCACUUCUGUUUAGUUUUAUCCGGCGUUCAGGUAACUAAUUUUUGUGAAAUUUUGUUAUAUUUGAAUUAAUUUUAAUAAAAUAUAGUUGGAUUAUUUUGCUCUUAUCAUAAUUUUUAGCUUGUUUUAGUCAUCGUUCAUUUAAAAUAGCAUAAUACAUAAAUUUCAUAAAAAAAUUUAAUUUUUUUAAAAUUAUAAUAUUGACUUUAUUUUCGUUACUCAUUAACUAGUGAUUUUAUAAGUUGACUUUUUAUAUUUUUUUGUUUUAUUAAAUAAUAAUUUCUAUUUUUCUUGAUUGUUUAUGAAAAAGAUAUGUUGCUUAUAAGUUCAAAUUCAGUUAUUUUAUCAGAACAAAUUGUUCUUGUAUAAAAAUUAUUGACGUACAAAAUUAUCAAGUUAAAAUUUUCUUUCGUAAUAACAUUAUAUAUAUAUAUAUAUAUAUAUAUUAUUCUCUCGAUUCCCUCUUCUUUCAAGUAAAAAUAAGUUGAGAAAUCAAUGAAAUUUUUUAUAUAGAUAAUAAUUUGGAGUUUUAUUUUUCUUUAAAAUUCUUUUAUUAAUUCAAAUUUAAAUCUAAAACUUAAGUUACAAAGUAGUGAUAGAAUAAAAGAAAUUGAUUUCUUUUUCUCAUUCCAUAUUCAUACUCAUUUUGAAUCCAAUUAAACCUAAAUUUUCACUGAAAACUUUCACUUUUAAAUAAAUCCUCAUGUCAAAAGUGAUUGUUUUAUUCAAUUAGUGAAAACCAGAAAGGCGAUUAAAUACAGAUAAAUCAAUAAUGGCAGUUUGGCAAAUAUGUUUCUAAAAGGGGGCAAGUUCUUGAUGAAAUAGCAAUCUUUUUUUACUUUUAUUUAGUUAGUAACCACUAGGUAGUUGUGUGUGGGUUUCUUGUGAGCUUCUCUUAUAUUUUAUGCCAUAACUUUGGAAUAUACACAUUUAGGAAGAAAAAGGUAGCCAUUUGCUGUUUUUUUUUUUUUUUAAUGUUAUGGCUGAUACUGAAAGUCGAUUAAUUUAAAUUUAUGUUGUGUAAUAUUUUGUUUUUUCUGAUAUUAUUAAUUUUGGUGCUUAUUAGUGAUGUUAUUUAUUAAGAUAGUACAAUUUGAUGUAUUUUCAUGAUUCUUUUUUUAAAAAAUAUUUUUCUUGAUUUGAGGAUUGUUAGUAAUACAUUUUUCGAAUGUAGAAUGAUUUGGACCUUCAUUUGAGAUGUGUUUGAUCUCCAAAAAUAUCGAAAAAUACUUUGCUAUUUUGAAUCGAUUUUGAAGAAGAACUUUUCUUGAUCACUUUGUCUUUACAAAAAAAAUAUUUAAUAUUUUAAUUUGUUUAUAAAUAUUUAAAAACUAGAUAUUCAAGAUAAUUUUGUGGUCUUUACUUGCAAUUAAAGAUGUUUUCUUAUAGAAAAAAUAAAGAUGUUUCAAUUUAUAAGAUAUUACACUUAUUUGUGAAAUGAGAAUAAAAUUCUAAUUUGAAUUUGAAACUUUUUUUCAUUUUGAAGUGCACAGUUUGAAGGUAAUAUGCAUCUCCAAUAAAUUUUGUCAAAAGUUCAAUUUUAACUCAAGAGAAAACUAAAAUUAUCCAAACAUAACGCUUCAAUGAAUAUUUUUAGCGAACAAAGCAUUUUCUAACAUUGAUGCCUCUUAUCUAAAGGAACUUAAUCCAAAAUCUCGAUUAGAAAUAUAAAAGUACUCAGCACUUUAUCAUGAUCAAAAUCUUGAUUAAAAAUAUUUUUUUUAAAAACAUUAUCACUUCAUCAUAAUCAAAAAUCCCAACUAAAAAUUUUAAAUAAAUAUUAUGUCACUCUAUCACGAUUAAAAUCUCAAUUAAAAAAAAAAAUUAUCACUCCACCAUAACGCUCGUUCGUACCUCCAAUCAAGUCGUACUCCUCUAUUGGUAAUUAUAAUUGUCUUGGCUUUAUCUCAACUUUUGAAUACUUUUUUAGGCUAUUAUAUUACAAUAAUAUAGUUUUUGUUUUUGACAAAUAUGAAAGAUGUUGCCAGUCAUGUAUCAAGGUUUGAGUUGGCAGACACCAAAUUAUUUAUUUCCUUAUAGUAAGUAGUUGGCAAGCUUAUUUCUUAUUUCUUAGUUAAAAAUUAAAAUAUGUUUGACCUAUUCAAAGUACUUACAAAAAAUUGAAUAUCUCUAAUUAUUUAGUACUAAACUAUAAAAUGGUCAACUCAUUUUCAUUAACUUCAUUGCACGUGGUACCAGCUUCUUCAUCUUAGAGAAUUUAAGAAAAAUAAUAUUAUAAAUUUUACGUAAAUAAAAAAUAUAGAAACCUAAACAAAAAUAAUGCUAGUAAGUAGUAAAGAAAAUAAAUAAAUAAAUAAAUAAAUAAAUAAAAGAAAAUAUACAAGAAAAACAAUUUCAGUUGAGCAAUACAAACCUAAGAGACCACUUAUUAAUCUAUCGCAAUUUGAUUGAUCUAUUUUCUAAUUUAGUCAAUUUCUUAAAUGUUUUUUUCUUUUCAAAUGAAUAAAAUAUAAUUUUUUGUUAUAUUUUAUAUUUUUUAAAUUUAAUGUAGAAUUAAGAAAGAUUCUAAACUGUCGGUUCAUCAAUCCAUAUAGUUGGUGAGUUGGAUUUGAAUUGUUAUAUUUUUAGACAAAUUGAUCACCGAAAGUUAGUUUAUAUAAAUCAAAAUAUAUUAAGCAAUUUUUUUUUCAACAUUUCAUUUUAUGUGAAUAUUUAUUCGAUUGAAUAUAAGAUGUAAAAUAUAGCUAUAAAAUAUAUUAAAUUAUUCAAAAUUAUAAAGAAAAUUAGUGCUAUCAUAUAAAGUGGAUAAGAUAAAUAAUAUUUUGUUGUGAGAGUAUGAGUGCUUAAUAAUAAAGGAAGUAGUGAUGGAAGCACACACAUCAGCCAGUAAUUUAAUAAUGGAAUAAAACCAAAACCAUUCUCAUAGUCAAACCUUACUUUUGAAUUUUCAUUAUCUUAUUAUUUGGCUAUAAUCAAUCUUAUUCCUUCGUUUCAAAUUAUUUAUAGUACUUUCUAUUUACGUCUUUUAAAAAAAAAGAUUUUUCGUUUUUUUAUCUUUAUUGAUGCGUUGAAAUAGAAUGUAUAAAAUGAGAAGUUUAAAUUUUAAAAUAAUAAAUAUUUUUAAGAUAAUUAUUUUUAAAAAUCACGACAUAUUAUUUCAACGGGGUGUAUAAGUCCGUUUGGUGGGCAAAUACAAUGUAUCUGUCGAUUAAUUGAAGAGGGCCCCUUCAUUUUGUUUGCUUUGCUUGUUUUCUGGUGACAUGCUGGGGUCAAUGCAGCUUCCAAUCUAACUUUGUCUUAUUUUAUUUUAUAUUUUGUGUUAUCGUAUUUAUAAGUUUAUCGUAACUUCGCUUUUUAAUCGGAAAAAAAUUAACAAAUAUUUAGUGUUUAUUGAUUUCAUAAAUAAUUAUGUAUAUAAUUGGAUAGAGUUAAAUAUAAUAAUACAUAAUUAGUGUAUUUGAUUGGGGAAAAAACACUUUUUUUAUAUAUAAAAAAAAAGGAAUAGAAUACUCUUAAGUUUGGUGGACGAAAACCUAUAUAAAUUAAUCUUUACAAGGAUAAUGACGAAAAACAAUAAAAUGGAAAUAAUAUUCAAGAUAUAAUGCUUGACAUAUUUUGAAUUGACUAUGUCAAUAUCAUAUCAUUAGAGACACUUUGUAUAAUUUCGUGUCUUUUUUUCACAUAACCAAACUAUGAAUGCAAUAUAAUUGAUCCGCAGAGACUUGAUUAAGUAAAAAAGAAUUAUAUUGUGACACACACUAUAUCCUGGCUUUAGAAUUGGUAAAGAAACUUCCAUAUUUCUGCAUUCAAAGUUUUAGAGGGCUUAAUGAAUUUUGAUAAAAAAAAAAUUACAUGGAUGUAAUGUUUCAAAAGGUGAAGGGAAAAACUAAAAUGAAAAUAAAAAGGAGCUAAUAAAUGCGUGGGUGAAUACAAAAAUUUGGGAAACUUAGGUAAAUAUACUCUUCAGUCAUCUAGUUUAUAGCAUGAUCGAAAUAUCAAGUAUAUACUACUUAGAGCAACUUUCACAUGUAGCAAACACAAAAUUCAUAUUUGUAUGCUAUAACAAAGUUUGCAUAAUUGCGCUCCAUAACAAACAUAAAUAUGUAUAUUUCGCUAUACAUAUACAAAAGAAAGCAGUUAUAUAAUUUGCUUUGGUAUACAUAUACAAAAAGAUCAAUUGUAUAAAGUGAGAGAGGCGUGUGAGCGAGCGAGAUCUAGGAGAGGGGAGAGAGGGGAACGAAAAUAUAUGUAUAUAUACAAUUUUCACGCAUUUUAUACAUUUGCGUUUUUGUAUAAAGUGAGAGAGNNNNNNNNNNNNNNNNNNNNNNNNNNNNNNNNNNNNNNNNNNNNNNNNNNNNNNNNNNNNNNNNNNNNNNNNNNNNNNNNNNNNNNNNNNNNNNNNNNNNNNNNNNNNNNNNNNAUAUACAANNNNNNNNNNNNNNNNNNNNNNNNNNNNNNNNNNNNNNNNNNNNNNNNNNNNNNNNNNNNNNNNNNNNNNNNNNNNNNNNNNNNNNNNNNNNNNNNNNNNNNNNNNNNNNNNNNNNNNNNNNNNNNNNNNNNNNNNNNNAGAUCUGGGAGAGUGGCGAGCUAGAUCUGGGAGAGGGGAGAGAGGGGAAUGAAAAUAUAUGUAUAUAUACAAUUUUCUCUCGCUUUAUACAAACACAAACACAUUUUAUACAAUUUGCGUUUUUUGUAUAAAGUGAGAGAAGCAAGUGAGAGAGCGAGAUCUAGGAGAGGGGAACGAAAAUAUAUGUAUAAAUACAAUUUUCUCUCACUUUAUACAAACACAAACGCACUUUAUACACUUCGAGAUUCACCAGGAGAGAAGUGAAAUAGCAACAGUUUUCUAUGAGGUACAAUUAAAUCAAACUAUAUUUAUAGCAUUUAAUUUGAAUUAAUAAUUUGCUAUUAUAUACAAUUUUCCCUGCUACUUAUACACCUCGAUUGUACAUGUUGUAGAAGCCCAUGUUUAUACGUGGGCCGAGCUUUACCCUCUCUUCUUCUGCUUAAAUUUGGUCUAAUUAGGCAAAAACGAUGGGCCCAAUCGAUAGGUGUGAAUCGCAGGGCUUUUUUUUUUUUUGUGGCCUAUUUAGCAAUUGCACCUGACACUCAAUAAUCUGUUUUGGUCAGUAAAACUUGAUGAAAAUAUGAUCUUCUAAUAUUUCAAGGCAAGCUUUUGUGUUUUUGGACUUCCGGUCACAAAAAAAAGUUCAAGUAAAUUGCAUGUCCAAACACAACUUCAAAUUUUAAAAAUCACAAUUUCAAAAACUCAAAUUUUCAAGUUUCAAUUUAAAAAUUUAUGGCCAAAUGAGAGCAAAAGUGCAAUCAAAUAAACUAAUUAUAAACGAUGUACCAUGAGUGACAUCAGAUAUGUCUGAAGUUUGCAUUUCUCAAGCCAAAGUUCAUACAAAAAUGUAUGAAGUUUGAGAUUACGUAGCCAAACUUUAGAUAAAUCUGUCUAAAAUAUAGAGGUACCAAGUCAAACAUCAAAUAAUUUAAUUUGUCCAGAGUUUGAGACUGUCAAGCCAAACUCUAUCUCAAGUUAGACUUCGACAAAUCACUCAUAAAGUUAAGCGUCACAUACUCAUAUUUGCAAUUGGUUUUGAAACGACCAAAUUAUAAACUUUUUAGGCAAUAAAAAGGGUUAGACUCGACAUGCACAUAUCUAGGGAUGACAAUGGGGAGGCCGGAUGCCGGGCGGGAUCGGUUUAAGACUAUGUGGGGUGAUUGCAGUGGGUUUUUUUAAAACUAAUGCGGAAGAGGGGGGGAGGGUUGCGGGUAUAUGUGAGAUUUUAUGUGCGUUCAAAUUUAAUUUUAACUUUGUACAUGUUAUAAGAGUAGUGAUAGAAAAUUAUUUAUUAAGAUAAUUUUUGUAAGACUACUAAAAUAUUCAAGAUAGUAAAUGAUAAUGGUUCAAUAAAAAAUAAUAUAAUUUCUUACAUGUUUCCUAAUUGACCUCUAAAAAAUAAAAUUUUAAGUCACUAUCCUAUUAAAUUGACACAACUUAAUGAAAAAAUGAAUUUAUUUUUUUGAAUUUUAUUUUUAGUAUCAAACUUAACUAGAAAAAAAAUAUUAAAAAAAUUAUGCGGAGCGGAUCUAUACAAGACGGGGUGGAAUGGGUUGAAAAUGAAAAAAAAUGUUAUGCGAGGCAGAGCUGAGCGAAUUAAAAAUUUUACUGGUUAAGCUCAAUCCGCUCCGCCACACUCUACACCACCCCCAUUGUCAUCCCUAUUGUGGGCUCUUUCUUUCGGCUGAUCGAAAUUUCUUUAGCACCUAAGAUGGUCCACUAAUCGGCUACAAGAAAUUCACAUCUAUUUUUUAUUUUUUUCACUUUAUUGUUAAUUUAUUAAACUUUUAACAAAUAAAAAACAAAAAACAUAGUAAUCUUUCCAAUUGCAAGCUUGUCCCAAAAAUCUAGUCAUAUCAUUUGAUAUGAUAGCUAUUUGUCUGCUAUAAUUUUUUGCAGCAUUUGAAAAUCGAAACCUUCUAAAGUAACUUUUAUUGAAGAAACUUUCAUAUAUAGUGGGGUUACGUUGCAGCAUAAAUCAUAAUUCAAGAUCCAUUAUGUAGAGUUCACUUUUGUGUUUCAUGGCGUGAGAAAAAUGAGGGCUCCAUAAAUAUCACUUUAUGUAAAAAAAAAUUACCUUUAUUUUAAGUGUAUGUUAUGAAUAUAAUCCAAUGUUUGAAUUGCAUUUAGUCAUACGAGAGGAAAUCAAAUCACAUCUAGUCUUGUCUUCAACUAUGAUCCUCACAAUAAUAUGUGUAGGGAUCAAAUUUAUUACAUACUAGUGGAAACAUUCGUUAAUAUUUGUAUUAAGUUAGACUGUCUACAUCACACCUUUGAGGUGUGGUCUUUUUUGAACCUUGUUAACGUAAGAUAUUUUGUGCAUCGAACUGUUCUUUUGAUGGAUCAAUUACUUCAGAAUAUUUCUUUCAAUUGAAUACUCGAUCUUGAUCUCUACGUGUCUAGCCAUCGAUUGGUCCAUGAAGCGGCUCUUGACCGAAUUCAAAAUGAGACUAACUAUUAUUGUUGUUUCUAAUCUAUAAAUAUAAUAUCACUCAUUUUUUUCUCAGUCUAUCUUCUAUACACUUUAUAUUUAUAAUCAUCUUUAUUUUUUAUUUUCUAUCCGAUGUUCAGAACCUGCAUUAGAGUCACGAUUGAAUUUAAAUUGUACAUUGCAAAGUCCAUUUGGAGAUGACGGCUUCCAACAAGAUUUUCUCUAUAUCCAGGAUUCAAACCCGAGACCUCUUAUUAAGGGUAGAACAGUCCCAACAAUGCACCACAACUUGUGAUAUACUUAUAUUCAUCAUUUUACUAUUUAACUUCAAUUACAUUAGUUAUAAUUAGAUGUCCCAUUCUCGAUCCUUUUGGUAGAUUUUAGCAUCUAAACCUUAAUUAGGGGUUAUUAUUCUCUAAACAGAUAUAAUUAGAUUUUCAAUUGGUUUUGAAUAGGUUGAAUAAAUAUCUCUGCUGGAUAUAAAUUAUUGUAACUGCAAUGAGAAAAUUGUCAGCUUCUCAUUUGUAUUUUAUGCCCUCUUUUGACUUUGACCUAUUCAUCAUCAAUCACUUUACAAUAGUAAAUAUAGAUAUUUUAUCGAUGGAAUAAUUUAUUGACAGAUAAAUAUUUUCAAAGUCACGCGCUUUAUUUUUUUAUUUUAUUUUACACCCCUCUGUUCCUAAUUACUUGUCUACUUUUUUAUUUAUAGUUGUCCCUAAUUACUUGUCCAUUUUUACAAAUCAAGAAAGAACAUCUUUUUUUAUCUAUUAUAUCCUCAAUUAAAUGACUAAUUACUUUGAAAAAUGCAGAACUUUUCAUCCACUUCAUAAUUAAUAUGGAUAAAAUGGUAAACUCACUAUGUCAUUAAUUGAUUUCUUAAUAGAUGUGUCAAUUCAAAAGUGGACAAGUAAUUAAAGACAGAGGGAGUAUAUGUUAUGAAUGGGCCUAGAUCACUAUUGGCGAAGAAGCCUAAUAUCAGAUUAAGUGGCUAUGUGUGGGAUCCGAGUUGAUAAAUAGAGUCUUUUGAGAGCAAAAUAGGUUUUAUGUGAAUUAUGAUUAUGCUUAGGCAAGGACUGUGCUUCUCAACCCCAGUUCUCUCUUAUUUCCCUCAUCCCUUCUUCUUUAUAGUUACUAUUAUUGUUCACUUUCUUCAUAUUGUAAUUGCUCAUUUCGUAUGAAUCAAAACUUAUUAGUUUGUUCUCUCUGUUGUUUGUUAUUGAAUUGAGAAAAUCACUAUAACCAUUUUAGUGUUUGUUACAAUAUAUUUAAUUAAAUAUUAUCACAUAAAUUCAAACGAAAUGAAUACUUCCCAUAAACGAAUGCUAUUUAUAAGGAUUUUUUUCAGAAUAAUUAUAUAGUGGCAGACUAAUUUUUAUUAAAGAAAGUGAAAAGAUCACAAGAAACAAUGAGAUCAAAUAUAGAUUCACACUGUUGCCAGUGUUGUCGGGACCAUUUUUUUGUGUAACAAUUAAUUAACACACAAAAUCAUUGUGACUCCACUAACGAAUGUAUUCUCUAAUUUGGUUCAUUUCCCCAAUUUUGUUCGUCCUAAUAAAUGAUUUUUUUAAAGAAGUUCGAUUGUUAAAAGAUAAAAAUUAAAGAUAACUUAUUGAAAAGCAAAACGUGUAAUUAAAUUAUGUACGUUUCCUAGGAAAAGUAAUCUUCUUUUGACAUAACAUAUGAUGAUAUUGUGUUGUUAAUAACUAUGUUAAUUUUGAUAGGCAAAUUAAUCUCCUAAUGACAUAAUAUAUGAUGAUAUUUCUUGAAUGUCGCUGCAUAUCAUAUUGGACCUAGGGAAAUUGGAGCUAAUACCUAAAAGAUUAUGCAAUAUUUUAAAGAUAAAGAUGCAUGGUUUCUUGAUUUUUUUAGAUUUCGAAAUGGAUGAAUUACGCAUCGUAACAAUAAAGAGUGUUUAUCUUAGGUAAGAAACUUGCGAUUCACUAAAUAUGCAUCGCGCAUUGUGGGUCCAUUCGAGGUGACGCUUCCAACAUGAUAUUUUUCAUAUUCAAGGCUCAAAUCCGAGACCUCUGAUUAAGGGUGAAAUAGUCUCACCAUUACACCACAACUCAUGUUGAUACCAAAUGUUCAUUAAUAAGAUUAAUUAUAAAUUUU